rnacentral:lncRNA from 1 species
UGAAGGACCCAAUGGAGGAUCAAUUGGAAAGGUCACUAUUAACAUUCAAACCAAAGGAGAUGCUCAACCCAAUGAAGAAGAGGGAAAGGCUGCCAAGGCAAGAGGUGAUGCUUUUUUCAAGGCCAUUGAGAGUUACCUUUCUGCCCAUCCUGAGUACAACUAAAUUGAAUUCUAUCACUGAAGAAGAGUUUCCUUAUAUAAAGUUCUCUUCCAUGUUAUGCAUCUUGUGCUUUUAAGUUUGCCUUUAUGUAAUGAUUAAUAAGUGCUCUUCUAUUCUCUUUCCUUUUUUAUGCAAAAGUGUGAGAUUAUGUGGAUUUGUAUUCCAUUUCAUCAAUAAAUCAAUACAAAAAAUUACAAGGACCUUCGUAAUCAUGAUGGUUAAAAUCGAAAUUUUACUUAAAAUUAGGAUGGAGUCAAAUAUCAUAAAUGUAUGAUCAUAACACGAUUCAUAAGAUUUUACUUAUUAAUAUAUAUAUAUAAACUCAUAUAGUAAAAAAUCUCAUAUUACAACCCAAUCCUUAUUUUUUGAUAUAGUUGCUGAAUAGGAUAAAUUAGUAAAAUGAUCAAUAUUUUAAAGAAUAAAACUAAAAUUUUAAAAAAUUUCAUAUAACAACCCAAUUUCUUUUUGAUAUGCUAGCUAAAUAAAAUAAAUUAAUGAAAUAAUCAUUAUUUUAAAGAAUAAAACUAAGAUGGUAAAAAAGUCCAUAUUACAGUACAUUCCUAAAUAACCCACAUUUUAAAGAAUAAAAAGAUUGCAAAAUACACAUAUUACAUUCUACCCAAACCUUAUUUUUCCUAGGGUUGCCAAUUACGGUUCCUAACUUUUCCCUCCGGUCGUUUUCAUUCCUCCUUUCAUUUCAAGCAUGUCAUGGUUGCUAUAUGAUGGAUCUCAUGACGAGAACAAGAAGGUUCGAUGUUUUUUUGCUCCAUGUUUCUAUCUUUCUACUUCAUUUAUGCAUCUUAUGAAUCAAUAAAAGAAGUUUGCUGAAUUGAGAGGGAGGGAGAUGGAAAAAGUUGGAAGAGAAGAUUGAGUAUAAGAUCAAUGGGAUCAUGAAUUCAACCGAUCAUACAUUCCAACAUGGUGAUCUCACACGAUCUCGGGGAAACAUGCCCAAAACUGAGAUAGGUUUAUUCCAUGUAAUAUAAUUUUCUUCCAUGUUAUAUCUAGUUUGUGUUUUUAUGUUGGCUUCCUAUGUAAUGAUCAAUAAGUGCUCUUCUCUUUCCUUUGUCAUAUUCCAUGAGUUUGUAUUUCAUUUCAUCAAUAAAUUAAUAAAAAAAUUACAAACAUUAUCUCACUGGUUAAAAGAUUUUAUAUAUUAUUUCAUAUAAGGNAAGAUGGAUGGGAUCAUGAAUUCAAUUGAUCCCACUUUCCAACAUGGUGAUCUCACACGAUCUCGGGGAAACAUGCCCAAAACUGAGAUAGGUUUAUUCCAUGUAAUAUAAUUUUCUUCCAUGUUAUAUCUAGUUUGUGUUUUUAUGUUUGCUUUCUAUGUAAUGAUCAAUAAGUGCUCUUCUCUUUCCUUUGUCACAUUCCAUGUGUUUGUAUCUCAUUUCAUCAAUAAAUUAAUAAGAAAAUUACAAACAUCAUCUCACUGGUUAAAAGAUUUUAUAUUUUAUUUCAUAUAAGGAAAAUCAAAUUUAAGCUAGACAUGAAGAAACAUGAAUACUUGAAUAUUGGAGUUUUUAUUUUUCAUAAGAUAAAUGUGAAAAUAACUCCAAUAUGAAAAGAAGUAAUGUUAUUUGAGAAUACUAAACAAGUUUGUUAUAUAUACAAGAAGGGGGAGCUAACUCACAUAGUCAUGUUGCCAUAUAAGGAUUUAAGAUGUUUAAAAACAUUUUUAUAUGUGAAAAAUAAAAAAAACAACUAUGUAUUGUAUUUAAAAGUAGUAUGUAAAAUUUUAAAUAGUUUUAAUGCAUUUAAUGUUUGAUAGCAAAGAACUGAAUAAGUUUAUUUUAGAAUGUUCUAAAAUAAAUAUACUAGUUUUUACAUUGUCAAUUCAUCAUCAACUAUUUAUAUUCAAUAAUAUUAUUGACUUUUAAAUAUAAGUAGUAAAAAUAAGUAGUUAUAUAUUAACUUUAUAUAUUGACAAUGUAUAAAUAUUCCAUUCAUAUAUUAUUUGAUAUGACAUUUAUAUUGGUUAGUUUUUUCUCAUAUAUUUCCUCACUAUUCAUCAAAUUAUACGACCGGGCAAUAAUGAAUUGCUACGCUGAAUAAGGCUUCUGGAAUUGAAUAUUUAUUCUUUGAAAACUCAAAUCCACCUUCUUUGACCAACGCUUGAAAUUCUUUACACAAGACUAAAAGCUCUACUUUGAUUUUCAAUCAUAUUUCAUCCAAUCAUACGUGACUAAUGGAACACGGGAAUCAGAGGUUAGAGAAAAAAUUAUAGAAACCUUUUCACCAAACAAUCACCUAUUAAAAAAUUAUAAUCAUUGCCCAAAUGUUGUAAAAACUGGUUCAUACCAACUGGUUCAACGAGUAAGCUGGUUCAACGAGUAAGCUGGUUCAACAGGUAAACUGGUGAAUCGGUCCCUAUAUUCGUAUGGUAUAAUAAUUAUAUCUAUCAUACAAUCAUACUGGCCAAAACGUGCAAAACUGAUCGGUUUUCAAUUGAACUGUACCAGUCAUACCUGCCAGUUUUAUUUAAAAUUAAUUUUUUAAUGAAAAUAAAAAAUUAUUGGUUUCUUAUUGAUUUUUCAACAUUAAUGUUAAUAUAUUAUAUAUGUAUAUUUAAUUUCGCUGAUAUGCAGUUUAAUUAGUUAACCACCGAUUGAACCGUUAUAUCACUAUACUGGUACCCUAACCAAUUUGGUGACCGGUAUGAUAUUAAUAACACUGCCUAAUUUAAAGCAUUAACGUUGCAUUCAUAUGAUUAAGAACACGUAUGUUACUCGUGCAUUGACAUGGUUAAAAAUACACAUGUUACAUGUUUAUUCUCAUUCACAUGUUACAUGUUUAUUCACAUUGCUAAUAAAACACAUGUUACUCGUGCAUUCAUAUGUUAAAACACACAUGUUACCGUUAAGAACACAUUUGUUACAUGUGUAUUUUUCUGUUCAAACACAUAAGGAAAAUAAAUAACAAUUUCAAAUUUGAAUCUUUUAUUGAAAAUAGGAAAUCGAAACAUGAUACUAUAUGAUUUUUUUUUAAAUAAAUGUUUUAAAAGUUGUAGAAAUAAAAUGAAUUUUUCAAUAAAAAUAUAGAAAUCAAAUCAUGAUACUAUAUGAGUAUUUUUUAUUAAAAAAAUAUUUAAAAGUUAUAAAAAACUUCAAUUUUGAAUUUGAUUAUUUAACUAUAAUAGAGAAAAAUUAAAAUUUAAAGAAUUUGAACUGUGAUAUUAAAAUUCAGUCGGAAAAGUGUCACAAAGCUUUGAUAUGAUGAAAAAUAUAAUAAUUCUUAGAGUAUUGAUAAAUGUUAAAUAAUAUAUAUAGAUUAAUACAAAUAUUAAAUGAGGUGAAACUGUAUAGAUUUUUUAAUUAAAAUUAAAUAAUUACAUAAGUGAAUGUGAAAUGAUUAUAUUAAGGUUUUGUUACCAAAAUUGUGAUCAUAAGAUUUACAUGCUUGUGCAUCCUACUGUUCUUCCAUCAAGAUUUAUACGAAGUUACACACUUACACCCUCAUGUCGGAGAUGAAGAGGUAAGGAUGAGAUUAAGGAAUAGUGGAAAGACAAAGAGGUAAUAGUAGAACUGAUGAAAUGGAAAAGAGAAAUAGUAUGGAUGUGAAAAAAGAUUUCAAUUCACUCUAAUGUUCGAUGAUCAAUACUUUUUAAGAUAAUAAAACAUAUGGGUCAAUCACUAAUUAGCAUUAAAACAUUAAAAUAUAAAAUGUACAAAAAGUGAGGAUGUAGUAUAAAAAUAUACAUAGUAGUAACAUAUAACCUUUUAGAAGGGAAAAAAGUGAGGAGGAAGUGAUAUAUGACUUGAAUGAGUUUUUUAUUAUAUAGUUAAUAGAUUAUGUUGCAAAAGCUAUAUAUACUAGUACCUGGUCAAAUUUUGUACAAAGUAAUAAUAUAUUGUUUAUUUUAUAUAACAUAUACCAAUAUAUUUACAAAUUACAACAUAUAUAUCAAAAUAAUGGCUCCUGAGUGUACAUCUCGUCCCUUUUGUUGACAAUGGGUAGAUAUUGUCCCCAAUAGACAAAUGAAAAGGAUAGGUGGCUAACAACCUCUAUAGUCAGCACCUAUUCACAUACAAGAAGAGAUGCCUACAAAUACAAGGGACUCCUUUGCCCAUAAAUCACACAACAAUCAUUCUAACAUCUUCUUCUUAUAUAUCUUUCCAUUAUUCUUCCUCCUUUUUGCUAAUUAGUUUCUAAGCAUGGGUGUUUUUACAUUUGAGAAUGAAUCCACUUCUACUGUGGCUCCUGCUAGGCUCUACAAAGCUUUGGUAACAGAUGCUGACACCAUCAUCCCAAAAGCUGUUGAAGCCAUCCAAAGUGUUGAAACCGUUGAGGGUAAUGGUGGCCCUGGAACCAUUAAGAAGCUUACUUUGAUUGAGGGUUAGUAUAUUAUAUCUUCUUCAUACAUAAAAUAUAUGGUCAUGGCAUAUCAUUACACAUGAGAAAUUUUAGUUUUCCUUCCGCGUUUGUGAUGCUAUUUUUACCCACGCUAAAUUUUUAUUACAUAAAAGCAAACAUUUAUAGAACAAGAUCUAUGUUUUGUUUAACUGUAUAUUUAUUAUAUCAAUGAAAUCUAUGAAUUACUAAACCAAUUAAGCUGAUGAUGUUUAUGGAUAUGAUAAUCAUAUUGGGCAGGUGGGGAAACCAAGUAUGUGUUACACAAAAUAGAGACAAUUGAUGAGGCCAAUUUGGGAUAUAACUACAGCAUAGUUGGUGGAGUUGGAUUGCCAGAUACAGUGGAGAAGAUAUCAAUUGAGACCAAAUUGGUUGAAGGAGCCAAUGGAGGAUCAAUUGGAAAGGUCACUAUCAAGAUUGAAACCAAAGGAGAUGCUCAACCCAAUGAAGAAGAAGGCAAGGCUGCCAAAGCAAGAGGAGAUGCUUUUUUCAAGGCCAUUGAGAGUUACCUUUCAGCCAAUCCUGAUUACAACUAAACUCAACUCUAUUAUUGAAGAAGAGCUCCCUUAUAUAAUGUUUUCUUCCAUGUUAUCCGGUUUGUGCUUUUAAGUUUGAUUCAUAUGUAAUGAGUAAUAAGUGUUCUUCUCUUCUCUUUCCCUUUUUUGCAAAAGUGUGAAAUUCCAUGAGCUUGUAUUUCACUUCUUCAAUAAAUUAAUACAAAAGAAAUUAAAAAGCACCAUCUUAGCAUAAAUAUGAUUAUUUGAAAGAUUUAUAUAUUUUAUUGCAUAUAUCUAAAAUUAUGUUUAAACUGGACAUGAAGAAAUAUGAAUUCUUGAAAGUUUAAGUUUUUAUUUUUAUUUUUUUAUAAGAUAAACGUGAAAAUAAUUGCAAUAUAAAAAGACUUAAUGUUAUUUAAUUUGGAAGUACUGAACUAGUUUGUUGUAUACAUUAAUAUAUACAAGAACAUAGAGCUACACUCACAUACUCAAAAACAUUUUUAUACGUCAAAAGGACAUGAGAGAAUUAUAUCUUGUAUUCAAAAGUAGUAAGAAUAUUUUUCUACAAUAGAUUUUAACAGGGUGGAAAUAAGAAGGAAAGAAGACUUAAUUAAUGGAUAUCGAUGCUAUAAGAAAACUUCAUACCAAUUAAUCUUUUAUCCUAUCCCACCAUUGUUUUUAUACAGGGUAUUAUUAAAUUUGGACUAAUCAAUGACUUGAUUAGGGAAUUAAGUCAAUUAGUUAUUGGUUGGACCAUCAAAUCAUUUGGACAUGUUGACUUAGUUUUCUUAAAAAAACUAAAAUAUCAUAAUAAUAGUUAACAUUAUUUAAUAACUAUAUACCCAAAAUAUAAAAAACAUUAUUAUAACUAUUAAAUAGUUAACAAAGAAGAUUUUACUACUACCAAAUGCUCAAAUAAGUUGGAAAUGUCCUGAAACAAAAUGUGUUAUGCUUUUUUUUGGGGUCCAAAUGUGUGUUUUGCUUUUUUUUGGAGUGCAAAUGUGUGCUAUGCUUUAAUAUAACAAAAGUGGACAAUAAGUAUAAAUUUAAUUAAACAAUCAAAGUUUUGCUAACACAUAAGUCAUUAAAUGACAACCAUAAUUAUAAAUAAGUUUAAAAUAUUUGAUCUUUUUUCAUCUCAGUACAACAUAGUUUUGAUUGUUUUUAAAAUUUUUUUAUUGAUUUGUUCGAUUCAACCAGUCCGACCAUCUAAACUUAUUUUAGGCUUAAAUCGUCCGAGUCGAACUGAGUCAAUCUGAUUUUUAUUCAAAACCAGUUAUAAAAGAGACUUGGACUGGUUAGAUGUUCAUUUCAUGGCUGAAAUAGUCGAACUAACCGAUCAAAGCCGAAUUUUGUAACUCUUUUUAUAUCAAUGAAUGCUUCACUAAGUAUUUGUUUAAUAUACAUGAAACUGUGUAGUUUUUGUUUAUUUUAAAAAAAUAUGUUUAAAUUGUGACAUACCUAAAUUAUAAACUCAAUUUAAUUUUUUUUAUAGAAAAAGCUAAAAAUUGAAGCUCCCUACCAUGAUUUGCUUAUUUCAAAAUUGACUUACUUUUUUUAUUUAUUGAAAUGUCAAUUCUUUUUUUUUUGAAGGUGCAAAAACACCAAGGAUUUAUAUAAAUUAAGGAUGAAACAUACAAGAAGAACCAAGAGGUUACAAGUUUCUAAAACGGUAGUUAGGUAGGCCUAACAUAUUCCUACCAUAUUCUAACCUUAGAAAGCUAGGAAGAAUAUUCCACCAAAGAUUUGAGCUAUGGUGUAUGCCAUGAUUAGCUAAGAUGUCAGUGCAAGUAUUCCCUUCUCUAUAGAUAUGCGAUAUCCUGAAGUUCAUGGUUGAUAACUUGACCUUGCAAUUUAACCAUUUGUUCAAUAAGGGCCAAGGAGCAGAGGCUUUGUUGUUGAAAAUAUCCACUACAAGAGAAGAGUCACAUUCUAACCAAAGAUUAUUCCAACCCUUAUCGAAGGCUAUGCCCACAUCAAGAAUGGCAGAACUUAGCUCGGCAUAGAUAGCCAAUUGAAUACCAAUGAAAGAGUUAAAACUCUCCAUGAAGUUACCGGAGGAAUCCCUGAAUAAACCACCCCCACUUGCUCUCCCCGGAAAUGUCAAUUCUCAUUUUACCCUUAUUUUUAGUGUUAUCUCUCUUCUUAUUUUCCCUUCAAUCAAACUCCAUAAUAUAAAUUUGUGCCUAUGUUAUUUUAAAUGUUUAUAUCAAUUAUUAUUUUCAUCUUUUAAACAUUUGUCAUGAAGUAAUAAAAAUUAAAAAAAUAUUAUCAUAAUAUAAAAAAUGUAUACAUAAAAUUUAUUUGUUCUUUAGUAAUAUAUAUGAUAAUAAAUAUUUAAAAAUAUAUAAAAAAGAACCAAAGCAAUCACAAUAUAAAAACAACAUUAGAUAUAUAUUUUUUUUGUAAUUUGCUUUAUAAAAAAUAAUGUUUCUACAUCGCCCAAACAAAAUUGAUUAGCUUAUAUUAGCUUUUAAGUAUGUGUUAUUUAAAAUCAGGCUUGAACAAUAUGUAACUACGUUUGAACUUUUAUGUAACUUCACAGCCCUUAUACAAUAAUGCAUUUAAUCUUUGAUUGCGAUGAGCUCUAUGUAUUAGUUUAUUUUAAAAUGUUCUAAAAUAUUAUUUUCGAUGCAUUUACAUGGGUUUGAUUUGUCACAUAGUUCAUCAUUAUUAAUCAAAUUAUACGAAGUCGGCAAUAAUGCUAAGCUAAUGAAUACAGCUUCUGGAACGGAAAUUUAUCCUUUGAAAAGUCAAAUCCACCUUCUUUGACCAUCGCUUGAAAUUAGACCAAAAGCUAUACUUUUGCUUUUAAAACCAAUUAAGCAGCCGAACAAGUAUUUCCAAUCGGAUUAUGUAUGAUUUCAUCAUUAUAUUCAUAAUAUCUUCUUAGGACUCUUUAGACUAUUUCACAUCAAUAUUCCAUCCACUAAAGUUUAAGUUAAGAUCCUUGACUCUAUAUCUUAUUGUUGGGGCCAAUCCAAUUUAUAUAGUUGAUUUUCAUUAAUCUAAUAACUAUAGUUGUAAAAUUGGUUCUUGACUUUUAUUUUUACAUUCUUUUUAACUAUUAUUCGUACUUGAUUAAUAUUGAAAGUAACUUUUUAUUUUUUAACAAAAAAACAUGAUAACUGCAAUUAAGUUAAAAAAAUCAUGAUAUAUUAUGAAGACUCAUUUAGAAACAAACCUUCAUCAUCUUCAUGUCAAAACUGUAUUACUCUUGAAAACAAAGUUACAACAUUAAAUCUUGAACUUAGUAAGAUAAGUAAGAGCAGUAAAAGUUUAAAUAGAAUCAUCAAUUAUCAACGACACUCAACAGACCGAAGAGGUCUUGGCUAUUCAAAAGGCCACGUUUCUAAGAAACCUAGUGUCCCAAUUAAGAUAAACUUUCACAAAGGAAGUAUCCUUGAUCAUAAACAUAAUAAUGAUAGAACUAGGAUACAUAACCAUCAACUCACAUGCACAUAUUGUAAACAUCACGGGCAUAGACCAAACACUUGCAAAAUUAGAAAAUAUGGUGUACCCCUUGGUCAUUAUAAAUGGAUUGAGAAAAGUGCUAACCAUAUAGGACCCAAAGAAAAUUGGGUACCUAAUAAAACUUAACAUGUUUUGCAAGAUAAUUUGGGAGCCACCUGCAACCUAUGGUAUUUGGAUAGCAGCUGCUCAAAACACAUGACGGGCGACAUAUCAAAAUUCUCUGUCCUUACUCCAAGGGACAAAGGAUAUGUCACAUAUGGUGAUAAUAACAAAGGAAGAAUUCUUGGAGUUGGUAGAAUUGGUAAGCCUNNNNNNNNNNNNNNNNNNNNNNNNNNNNNNNNNNNNNNNNNNNNNNNNNNNNNNNNNNNNNNNNNNNNNNNNNNNNNNNNNNNNNNNNNNNNNNNNNNNNCAAACCAAAGCAUAUGGUUUCUUCUGAUAGACCAUUACAACUACUACAUAUGGACUUGUUUGGCCCUCAAGGACAAAAAUUUAUGGUGGUAACUACUAUGCCCUCGUUAUAAUAGAUGAUUUUUCAAGAUACACUUGGACUCUAUUCUUAGUGCAUAAGAAUGAGGCAUUCGAAGGCUUUAGCAUUUAUGCUAAAAGAGUACAAAAUAAAAAAUCACUUAAAAUCGCUGCUAUAAGAAAUGAUUAUGGGGAGAAUUUCAAAACUCUUCUUUUGAAUAAUUCUGUGAUGAUCUUGGUAUCAAUCACAACUUUUCUGCUCCUAGAACANNNNNNNNNNNNNNNNNNNNNNNNNNNNNNNNNNNNNNNNNNNNNNNNNNNNNNNNNNNNNNNNNNNNNNNNNNNNNNNNNNNNNNNNNNNNNNNNNNNNUCUGGGCAGAUGCAGUAAGUACUGCUUGUUAUGUUUCGAACCGAGUUCUCAUAAGACCUAUUCUCAAGAAAACCCCCUAUGAACUCUUUAAAGGUAGAAAACCAAACAUUUCUCAUUUGCAUGUAUUUGGUUGUAAAUGUUUUGUUUUAAAUAAUGGAAAUGAUAACUUGGGUAAGUUUGAUGCAAAAGCAGAUGAAGACAUCUUCCUAGGCUACUCUCUUAUGAGUAAAGCUUACAGAAUUUUUAAUAAAAGAACACAAGCCAUGGAAGAAUUCAUUCAUGUAUUUUUUGAUGAAACCAAUGCUGAGAUAAAAGAUAUGAUAACCCUUGAUGAGGAGGAACUGUCAAGUUCUUCUUCAAAUGAAAUUUCUAUUAUUGAAUCUACAAUUGAUACUGAGCAAUUGAAAAUGAAUGAUAACUUACCAUCUCAAGAGGAGCAUACUCAUUAAGAUUUACCAAAAGAAUGGAGAACUCAUCGAUACCAUCCAAUUGACAAUAUUAUUACUGAAUUAAAUAUGUGCAUCACAACCCGACGAAUGCUUGAUAAAGCUUGUCUUAACAUGGCAUUCGUCUCUCAAAUCGAACCCAUCAAGAUUGAUGAAGCAAUUGAGGAUGAACACUGGAUUCUUGCUAUGGAAGAAGAAUUAAACCAGUUUGAGAGAAACAAAGUUUGGGAACUUGUUCCCAGACCUAAAAAUAGGCAUGUUAUUAGAACUCGGUAGGUAUUUAGAACUAAAUCUGAUGAAAAUGGUAUAAUAGUUAGAAAUAAAGCUAGACUAGUAGCCCAAGGAUACAAACAGGAAGAAGAUAUCGAUUUUGAUGAAACUUUUGCUCUGAUUGCUAGACUUGAAGCUAUUAGGCUAUUACUUGCAUAUGCUUGCUAUUUGAAUUUUCAGUUAUAUCAAAUGGAUGUAAAGAGUGAUUUUCUCAAUGGCUACAUUCAAGAAGAAGUGUUUGUUGAACACCCUCCUGGUUUUGAAGAUUACACCCUCUCUAUAGCUUAAAGCAAGCUCCUCGCGCAUGGUAUGAUCGUCUAACUAAAUUUCUACUUGAAAAGGUUUCAACAAAGGAAAGGUUGACACUACUCUCUUCAUAAAGAAAAUAAAUAAUCAUACUUUACUUGUUCAAAUUUAUGUAGAUGAUAUUACUUUCGGUUCUACUAAUGAGUUGUUAUGUAGUGAUUUUGGCAAUAUGAUGCCAAGAGAGUUUGAAAUGUCUAUGAUGGGGAAGUUAAAUUACUUCCUUGGAUUACAAAUCAAACAACUUGACAAUGGUAUUUUUGUAAGUCAAUCUAAAUAUUGCAAAGAUUUUCUAAAAAGAUUUGACAUGGACGGAUGCAAGCAAAUAACUACUCUUAUGAGAUCUGGAACUUACAUCGAUAUGGAUGAAGCAGGAAAACCCAUCGAGAUAUUAAAGUAUCGAGGUAUGAUUGGAUCUCUUUUAUACUUAACUGCCAGUAGACCUGAUAUCAUGUUUAGUGUGUGUAUGUGCGCUCGCUAUCAAUCCAAACCAAAAGAAUCACACUUAGUUGUUGUUAAGAUAAUCAUGAAAUAUCUUAAAGGCACAAUUAAUGUCGGACUGUGAUAUCCAAAGGAAAGUAUAUGUGACUUGGUUGGAUAUCCAUAUUCAAAUUUUGUAGGAUGCAAAACUGAGAGGAAAAGUACAAGUGGUACUUGUCAUAUUUUAGAGAAUGCUCUAGUUUUGUUGGUCAUGUAAGAAACAAGCAUGUGUAGCCCUAAGCACUGCUGAAGCUGAAUAUAUUGCAACAGGUAGUUGUUGCGCCCAAGUGUUGUGGAUUAAGCAACAAUUACGAGAUUAUGGUUUAGAUUUGGUUUGCACUCCUCUAAAGUGUCACAAAACUAGUGCAAUAAACUUCACAAAGAAUCCGGUUAUGCAUUCAAGAAGAAAACACAUUGAUAUAAGGCAUCAUUUCAUUAGGGACCAAUGUCCCAAAGAAUGAUGUGUCUGUAGAAUUUGUUGAUACUCAUAACCAACUAGCAGAUAUAUAUAUGUAUUUUUACAUUUUUUUUACUUUUUCAAACUCAUCUUCCCCACUCAACUCAGGCUGUCUCCUACUCAACCCUCUCAAAUCCUAAAAUCUUCGUUUUUGAUCCGUUUUAAGUGAUUUUUGUGUCUAUUCUUAUCACAUUUUCACUCCUAAACACUUUUAAACCUUCAUUUUCGUAUUUAGUAACCUAAAUCAAAAACCCCCAAAUCUCCAAAACCUCAAAACCUCAAACUUCAAAACCAAAAAUCAAUGGCUUCAUCUUUAAAAACCAAGAAGCAACACACCUCCACUACUCAAAAGAGGCGAGGAACUACUUCUAUUGAGUCCAACCCUCUGGAUUUGACAAAGCUUCUAGCUAAUUAGGAACAACGCAAAGUGUUUGAAGAACACUUCCAUGGACGCACUAUUUUCACUCCAAAAUUCGUGUUUCUACAAAUGGUGAAACAUAGGUGCCUCUAAAUCUUUGAGAAAGCCAAAUUGAUGUGGAAGUGAUCCAUAAAAUGUGUUUCAUCCAAGACCCUCGAACCUGCACCUUCAACCAUAGAACCGACAAGCCGACUAUUGCUGCUGAACCAUCUGAAUCUGAAGCUCCUAACCCUCCUGAACCACAACCGUUUGAGUUUCAUGGUCAAUCGUCGUCAUCUACUCCCAUGCCUACGAACCAAAUGAUUAUGGAUGAGUUGUUUUCUCUCCGAGGCUACAUCACUAACCGGAUGGAUGGCCUCACCUCUCCGAAUCAACAAAUCCAAUAUGAACUUCAUUGCCUCUUCUCUAGGAUGGAUAGCAUGGUUAUUGAUGAAGACAAUUCGGAGCCUGAGUCUUAGAAUAUUUUUUGUUAGGAUCUUCUGGUUGUAUUAUUUUCAAAAUUUGGACAAAGUUUUAAUUCUGAUUAUUUAUUGUUUUUAAAGAUAUUGCUGCAUAUUCCUGGACAAGUUACUUUAUGAUGUUUUGUGUAUAAUUGUUCCAUGCCUGGAUUCAUAUUUGAAACAUCUUAUUUAUACAUUGCAAUACUUUCUUAUCUAUAUCUUAAUCCAUACAUGAGUAUAUGAUAUCAUAUUGAUAUAUCUUGAUUAUAUAAGUGUAUGUAUGCUAUAUAUAUUGUGCUGGAAUCUCUUUGCUUUUCUACUUUUUGAUGAAGUCAAAAGGGGGAGAAAAGUUGGGGGAAGUGUAUUUUCUGUCAAAUUAUUUCAGGUACAUUACUCCAAAAGAAAGGGGAGCAUACAAGAUAGGGGGCAUACUCAAGUCAAACUUCAACAUAUCUCAAAGUAUGCUGCUCUCAAGAAAACUACACUGUCAAAAGAUCUUGGUUUGUCAUCAUCAAAAAGUGGGAGAUUGUGAAGAUGAUCUUUGCUCCUGACCUCGGCAAGAUUUUGAUGAAGACACCAACAUCACCAAAAAUAAGAAAAGGAAUAUUACUUAUGAAGACCAAGAAGAUUAAAGCUUCAAGAAAAUUAGUCUAAGUCUAAUUAAGUACUUGUAUCAUAUACUCUUUAAUAUACUAAAGUAGUAAUGGUCAAAAUAUUUUAAAAGAAAUUGAAACACUUCAAGUUUUAAAUGAAAACAUUUUUCAAAAUAAUGUGUAACAAGUUACUGAAAUUUGAGUAAUAGGUUACUGAAAUUUGAGUAAUAAGUUACAUGAGUUAGAAUCAGUUAUCCAACAAUAUUUAAAUUGGAGUAACCGAUUACUCAAAUUUGAGUAACUGAUUACUCUAAGUGAAUUUUGAAUUCAGUGUUGGACAAAGAGUUUGAGUUACCGAUUAUUCAAUGUAAUUUUUCAAAAUUUCACGUUUGGGUAACUGAUUACCCACUUAUUGUAAUCGAUUAUUGAGAGCUGUUACAUCAGUUUUUCAGAUUUGAAACUCAAGGGUUUUUAUCCCAAACAAAAUGCGUUCAUUUCAAACAAUUUCUAUUCUUUCAUAAAGGCACAAUGACCGGGCAAUAAUGAAUUGCUACGCUGAAUAAGGCUUCUGGAAUUGAAUAUUUAUUCUUUGAAAACUCAAAUCCACCUUCUUUGACCAACGCUUGAAAUUCUUUACACAAGACUAAAAGCUCUACUUUAAUUUUCAAUCAUAUUUCAUACAAUCAUAAGUGACCAAUGGAACACGGGAAUCAAAGGUUAGAGAAAAAAUUAUAGAAACCUUUUCACCAAACAAUAAACUAUUAAAAAAUUAGAGAAAAAAUUAUAGAAACCUUUUCACCAAACAAUCACCUAUUAAAAAAUUAUAAUCAUUGCCCAGAGUGUUGUAAAAACUGGUUUAUACUGACUGGUUCAACGAGUAAGCUGGUUCAACAGGUAAAUUGGUGAAUCGAUCCCUAUAUCUGUGUGGUAUAAUAAUUAUAUCUAUCAUACUAUCAUACUGGUCAAAACGUGCAAAAUUGAUCGGUUUUCAAUUGAACUAUACUGGUCAUAUCUGCCAGUUUUAUUUAAAAAUAAUUUUUUAAUGAAAAUAAAAAAUUAUUGGUCUCUUAUUGAUUUUUCAACAUUAAUGUUAAUAUAUUAUAUAUUUAUAUUUAAUUUCACUGAUAUGCGGUUUAAUUAGUUAACUACCGGUUGAAUCGUUAUGUCACUAUACUGGUACCCUAACCGACUUGGUGAAUAUUAAUAACACUGCCUACUUUAAAGCAUUAAUGUUUUUCAUUUCCUUUCAAAUAACAGAACGUUGUAUUAAUAGUUAAAUAAUAAAUAAAAAUGGAACGGUUUGUGCCUGUUUAUAAAUAUUAGUUAGUAUUUCGUGGAAUAAAUGAGUUUUUCUUUAAUUUUAUUUAUUUAUUCAAUUAUUUAGUAGUUAAUAAUUAUUUAUUGGUCAAAAAAUUUAUCAUGUUUGUAAAGAGUAUAAUGUGAUAUAAGAUAUAUUUUUAUUGUAAUCCAUCAUAAUUUAGUAAGAGAUUUAAGAGUAAAAUGGUAAAUACAUGCAUUUAUUUGAAUGUAAAAACUUAGAGAUUAAAAAAACUGUCGAAAAUAAAAAGAUCUAUAACUAGCCUUUAGACGUGGCAUGGAAUUUUGUGAUUUCUAAUUUUAUAAAAGUUAUUUACCAGUCAUAUAAUUACUUGUUUUAAUUUGGUCAUUCAAAUUAAAUAAAAUUCAAUAGUACAUAUUAAUUGUUCUCAAUUUUUUAAUUGACAAGUACUCUAACAGGAGUCACCUCCUAUAUAUAUCAAACUAGCAAGUUAUUUGUGCAUUUGUCGGGACAAUAUUUUUUUGCUGCAUGAUUAAGAAAACAUAUAUUACAUGUGCAUUCAUAUGAUUAAGAANNNNNNNNNNNNNNNNNNNNNNNNNNNNNNNNNNNNNNNNNNNNNNNNNNNNNNNNNNNNNNNNNNNNNNNNNNNNNNNNNNNNNNNNNNNNNNNNNNNNCACAUGAAUCAACAUCUUUUAAUUGAGAAUAAAGACUCACAGUCAGAGAGAAUGUUUAGACCAACUCAACACGUCCAUGUAUGCAUUGGGCCUGUGUGAUUCCAAUAACUCGACAAUUAUUCCCAAGACUCAAUGACAGUAUAUGAAUUUAGGUAUUGUUAGAUGAUGAUUAUUGUUUUUGGUUGUGUGAUUUUUAGUGGGAUGAUUUUGGAUUGUUGUAUGAAAGGUAAUGUUGAGGGUAAAAAAUGAUUGAUGAAUGAAUUUGUUUGAUUGUUGUGUAUAGGAGAUUUUGAUGUUGGUGUGGAUGAGAGAUUUUGUGGUUGUUGUGGAUGAGAGAUUUUGUGUAUGGAAGAUGAUAUUUAGGGAGAUUAUGGAUCAGUUAGGAAAGAAAUGGUAUGAGCAUUUUUGGCUUUUUUCUCCACCGUCUCUUAAGGGGAAGACCCCAUCUAUUUAUAGCCAAAGCCAUAUGAACACCAAUUAAUUCCUAGGAGAACAUUAAGGGAUUAUGAUUUUUUUUCUAAUUCUCAAUCUGAUUUUUAUCACACUUAAAUGCAAGUUUUAAUAGCCAAAUUUUCAUACUCAAUCAAUGUAUUUAAUUCCAGCACAUGGCCAAAUUGCAAAAAAAAUCAAUCAACACCCAAAUUUUUUCAAAAUUCAAAUCUAUGAAAAUGGAUUAAAUAUAUGUCAUUAUGAUGGAUCGUUCAUUAAAUAUCCAUAUCUCCUUUAUCUCUUUAUCUUCUAGAAAUAAUUUUCUUUGGAAUCAAUUGAAAUAAAAUUCAUUAAGUGCUAAUGAAUUCAUUUAUUUGAUUUGAUUACCCCUUUUUCUAACAAAAGUCAAUUCAUGGAAUCUAAUCGGAUUCACAUAAAAUAUAUAUUUGAGUUGAUGAAAUUUGUAUAAAAAAUAUUUAUUGAAAAUUUGGUUUUUUUUUUUGAAGUAUUUUUGGGUCGGACAAAAUUGGAUAUUCACAGCUGUCCCUCUUUACCUGUUGCUUAUUGGACAUAACUCAAACUGAAGUUUGAGGAGUUGUCCUGAUAAGUAAUAGGUAAAGAAAUGAAUACUAAUUUUGUUAAGGCUCAGAAAAGGGCCAUUAGGACAGGUGCCGAAUUUGAUGAAGCAGGUCGAUGCUCUGCUGGUGGAGCAGGGAUUUGUUGAGGCAAUUCCCACGUUUGCCAUGAUGAACUAGGGAUUUGUUGAGGCACCCAUGCUGCCAAACAAUUCAGGGAUUUGCUGAGACACCCAUGAUGCCAAAACGAUUCAGGGAUUUGUAGAGGCACCCAUGCUGCCAAAACGAUCAGGGAUUUGUUGAGACACCCAUGCUGCCGAAACGAUUCAGGGAUUUGNNNNNNNNNNNNNNNNNNNNNNNNNNNNNNNNNNNNNNNNNNNNNNNNNNNNNNNNNNNNNNNNNNNNNNNNNNNNNNNNNNNNNNNNNNNNNNNNNNNNUUUGGUUUGUUUGUUUAUGUUUAUUAGAGAAAUGAUGUAGAGAUACAUGUUUGAAUGUUUUGCAAUGAAAUGACUUGUUUAUGUUUAUUGGAAGAAUAGUGUAGGGAUGCAUGUUUGAAUGUUUGGUUAUAUAAAAUGCACUAUUUUGUUUGUUUGUUUUUAUUAGAAGAAUAAUACGUGGAUGCAUGUUUGAAUGUUUGGUUAUAUGCAAUGCAAUAUUUUUUUUUGUUUUUUUGUUUUCUUUGUGCUUAUAGGAGAAUGAUUUGAAUAUGCAUGUAUGAAUGCCUAAUUAUAUGUAAUGAAUGACUAUGCCAUAUUUUUUGUUUGUGCUAUAAUGAUUGGUAUAUGAAUGUGACUAUGCAUUGAAAAAUAUAGUUAUGCUUUAAUGUAUGUAUGUCAUGUAUGACAUGAGUACUUUAUAUUUUGUUUGAAUGAGUAAGAUAUGUGCACAAAUGUUCUAAUGCAUCACUUAAGGUUCAGUUUUUUUUUUUUAUCUUGUGUAUGAAAUUCAUCAAAUUUUGUAGACUCAACUGAAGUGGUCCUUGUUCUUGAUGUUGAUUGGUACCAUCAAAAUCUGCCCCAGUUUACUUGAAGAUGUCUUUCCUUUAAGGUGAUCCCUAAACCGCUUCACUAUGAUCCUGUGGACAAUGACUAAACCAAACUAUUUUGCCCGAGUGCAGGUUUGCAUAAAAUUUCUCUCAAAAGUGUUGAUGCUUUUUGUAACAGCAAAAAUUGCCCUAGUGUGCAUGUUAUGAACUCUUGUAGGCAUCUGUCGGGAAUUCUCUCAUUAGGAUCUCAAGUCACCUUCAUAGGUUUUCGACUUAGGAUCAUUCACCUUUUUCUAGGUUGCCCAUGUGGGUUUUCAACCUAACACUCUUUUGUUUUCUUUUGUUUUUGUUUUUUUUUCUUUUCUUUGAACACCCCUGGAUGUCUUGGCUCGAUGGGAAGUAGAAGCCUUGAACAAUGAGUCGGUCUUUCUUCAAUAUGCUUGAAAAUCGAAGAUUUUUCUUGUGUUUGAUUGAGAGAUUUUAACUUCUUGUGAUUGAUUCAACUAAUACAAUCAUGAGAAAUCACUUAUGCAUUGCUCCAGUUUUGGACUCCUUUUAAUUUUUCACAAGAAAAUUAGAUCAACCCAAAAACUGCCCCAGUUUUGGCUUCUUCUGACUUUCCACUAGAAAAUGUGAUCAACACCAAAAUUUGCCACAGUUUGGUCUUCUUGUGACUUUCCACUACCCCAGUGUGAGAUAAUCUGAGUCAUUCUUAUCCAUAUUGAUUUGGUAAGCUUAGAUUGUCAAGUCCUAGGCCAUGAAUCAUCUUAAAAUAUGCCCCAGUUUGAGAAGCUUCCAAUUUUCCAUUGCCUUUAUUGCUCUUUAUUUCAUGCAUAACUUUUUUCUAAAACAAUGAUCAUGCAAAUUUUGGUAAGUGUUUGGGCUAUGAGUGGUGAUGUGGUAGUGAUGAUAAGAUUUGGGUUUGGCUUGGAUAGUUAUGGUGGUGAUGAUGAUAAAAUUCAAUUUAGGUUUGGCUAAUGUAAAUAUGAUGGUGGCUAUGAUAGAAUUGAAUUUGUCUUUGGCUUUAAGAGUGAUGAUGAAGGUAUGAAGGAUACAUGGUUGAUAUUUGAUUUGUGUUUGGGUUUGUGUUGAUAUGAUGAUGAUAAUAAUGAAUGUUAACUUAUGCAUUAAAAAUGAGAUAUUUUAUCGAAAUUUUACGAGACUUGUGGAGUCAGCAUUUUUUUGGGUAUUAAUGCAUAUCUUAGGCAAAUAAGUCUUCAACAAGGUAUUUUUAGACUUGUAUCAUGGCUAGGCUAAGGUUUUUCAAGAAAAGGAUAUAAGGCUCAAAAUUUGUGUUUCCCUUACCCACCAUUCACCUUUCUUCUUUAUCCUACUUUCAACAUUUUUCAAACAUGACAUUCAACUAUUAAGAGAAUUUUUCAGGUUUUGAUAAGGAUGGCCUAUGAUUAAGGCGAUAAUUUUUUCAUGAAGGGUUCCUUUUGUGAUCCUUGAUAUUGCACUUUUGCCCUAACUUUUGCCUGAGGUAUUAAUUGAGGAUUCUCAGCGGUUUUUUUUAUUUUUUUUGGCAAAGAACGUUCUUUGUAUUUUUCUUUUCUUCCGGUCACAUGAUUGAUGUAAAAGGAACUCUAUAAGUUUAUUUUUAAAUGUUCUAAAAAUUAUGAUAAAGAUAUAUAUAUAAAGUUUUUUAUACUACCAAUUCAUCAUCAACCAUUUAUAUUUAAUUAUAAUAUUGAUUUUUAAAUAUACAUAAUACAAAUGAAUAGUAAAUAAUAUAUUCUCUAUUCAUAAAUGUUUCUGUUUCCACUGAAUAUUUCAUUCUAUAUUAUUCCAUAUGACAUUUAUAUGGGUUCGUUUUCUGGCAUAUAGUUCCUCACUAUUCAUCAAAUUAUACGACCCAGCAAUAAUGAAUUGCUACGCUGAAUAAGGCUUCUAGAAUUGAAUAUUUAUCCUUUAAAUCCACCUUCUUUGACCAACGCUUGAAAUUCUUUACACAAGACGAAAAGCUCUACUUUUUUUCAACCAUAUUCAUACGUGACUAAUGGAACACGGGAAUCAGAGGUUAGAGAAAAACAUUAUAGAAAUUUUUUCACCAAACAAUCACCUAUUAAAAAUUUAUAGUCAUUGCCUAAUUUAAAGCAUUAUGUUUUUCAUUUCCUUCCAAAUAACAGACUGUGUAUUAAUAAUUUUAUCAAAUAAAAUGGAACCGUUUGUGCCUGUUUAUAAAUUUUAGUUAGUAUUGCGCGGAAUGCAUGUGUUUUUCUUUGAUAUUAUUAUUUAUUCAAUUAUUUAGUAGUUAAUAAUUAUUUAUUGAUCAAAAGUUGUAUAUUGUUUGUAAAAAGUAUAAUGUGAUAUAUCAUAUUUUUUAUUGUAAUCCAUCAUAAUUUAGUAAGAGAUUUAAGAUUAAAAUGGUAAGUACAUGCAUUUAUUUGAAUGUAAAAACUUAGAGAUUAUAAAAACUGUCGUACCUUUAGAUGUAGCAUGGAUUUUUGUGAUUUCUAAUUUUACAAAAAUUAGUUAUUGGUCAUAGGAUCACUUCUUUUAAUCUUGAUUAUUCAAAUAAAAUCCAUAUAUAUAUAUUCUAGUUGGCUUUUGAAUCUGAUCCAAUUUUAGUUGAUAGGAAAUAGAUUAUCUCCUCAACAAACCAUAUUGAAGAUAUCUUCCCCUUUUUAGCUUUGAUUUAUCCCUUUUGAUAGGAAAUAGAUUAUCUCCUCAACUUGGCUUUUGCCUCACUUUCCUUCUUUUCUUCUUCAACCUUAGCCCUUAGUCUCUUUUGCUCCUCAUUGACUUGUUUAGGGCUCAGAGGGGCUAACGCUACCAUGUGACCAUGGUGUAUAAAUGAGACUUUGUUCAACUAUAUAUAUAUAUUUAUUAGAAAAUAUCAUAACUAACAAACUUUUUAUAUAACAAGAUCUAAGUUUUGUUUAACUAUAUAUUUAUUAUAUCAACAAAAUCUACAAACCAUUUAACCAAUUCAGGUGAUGAUGUUUAUGAAUGAUUGAUAAUCUUCUUGGGCAGGUGGAGAAAUCAAGUAUGUGUUACACAAAAUAGAAUCAAUUGAUGAGGCAAACUUGGGAUAUAACUACAGCAUAGUUGGGGGAGUUGGGUUUCCAGACACAGUAGAGAAGAUAUCUAUUGAAACCAAAUUUUUUGAAGGACCCAAUGAAGGAUCAAUUGGAAAGGUGACUACUAACAUUCUAACCAAAGGAGAUGCUCAACCCAAGGAAGAAGAGGGCAAGGCUGCCAAGGCAAGAGUAGAGAUGGCAAUAAAAACCGAACCCGUGGGUACCCGUCCGAACCCAACCCGAAUUUAACGGGGAAAACCCAUUGUGACUGGGUUCGGGUUUGGGUAAAACCCGAUCCCAAUUUUCGGGUUCGGGUUUGGUACAACUAAUACCCUACUCCGAACUUGCCCCAAACCCGUUAGAUAUAAUACUAGGCAUACCUAAAGUCCUAAAUUAGAAAUAGAAAUAGUCAAAUAGUAGCCUGCGUGAANNNNNNNNNNNNNNNNNNNNNNNNNNNNNNNNNNNNNNNNNNNNNNNNNNNNNNNNNNNNNNNNNNNNNNNNNNNNNNNNNNNNNNNNNNNNNNNNNNNNUAGUCUUUGUGAUGCUAUUUCUACCCAUGCUAAACUUUUAUUACAAAUAAACAAACAUUUAUAGAACAAAGUCUAAGUUUUGCUCAACUCUAUAUAUAUUUAUUAGAAAAUAGCACAACUAACAAACAUUUUACAUAACAAGAUCUAAGUUUUUUGUUUAACUGUAUAUUUAUUAUAUCAACUGUCUAAAAACCAUUUAACAAAUUAAAAUGAUGAUGUUUAUGGAUGUUUGAUAUUUUGAAUGGGCAGGUGGGGAAACCAAGUAUGUGUUACACAAAAUUGAAUCAAUUGAUGAGGCAAACUUGGGAUAUAACUACAGCAUAGUUGGGGGAGUUGGGUUGCCAGACACAGUAGAGAAGAUAUCUAUUGAAACCAAAUUAUUUGAAGGACCCAAUGGAGGANNNNNNNNNNNNNNNNNNNNNNNNNNNNNNNNNNNNNNNNNNNNNNNNNNNNNNNNNNNNNNNNNNNNNNNNNNNNNNNNNNNNNNNNNNNNNNNNNNNNCCAAUGAAGAAGAGGGAAAGGCUGCCAAGGCAAGAGGUGAUGCUUUUUUCAAGGCCAUUGAGAGUUACCUUUCUGCCCAUCCUGAGUACAACUAAAUUGAAUUCUAUUAGUGAAGAAGAGUUUCCUUAUAUAAAGUUUUCUUCCAUGUUAUCCGGUUUGUGCUUUUAAGUUUGCCUCUUAUGUAAUGAUUAAUAAGUGCUCUUCUAUUCUCUUUCCUUUUUCUACAAAAGUGUGAGAUUAUGUGAGUUUGUAUUUCAUUUCAUCAAUAAAUCAAUACAAAAAAAUUACAAGCACCUUCGUAAUCAUGAUGGUUAAAAUCGAAAUUUUACUUAAGAUUGGGAUGGAGUCAAAUAUCAUAAAUGUAUGAUCAUAACAUGAUUCAUAAGAUUUUAUUAUUAAUAUAUACAUAUAAACUCAUAUAGUAAAAAAUCUCAUAUUACAACCCAAACCUUAUUUUUUGAUAUACUUGCUUAAUAGGAUAAAUUAGUAAAAUGACCACUAUUUUAAAGAAUAAAACUACAAUUUUAAAAAAGCUCAUAUAACAACCCAAUUUNNNNNNNNNNNNNNNNNNNNNNNNNNNNNNNNNNNNNNNNNNNNNNNNNNNNNNNNNNNNNNNNNNNNNNNNNNNNNNNNNNNNNNNNNNNNNNNNNNNNUGAAAUAAUCAUUAUUUUAAAGAAUAAAACUAAGAUGGUAAAAAAGCCCAUAUUAGAGUACAUUCCUAAAUAACCCACAUUUUAAAGAAUAAAAAGAUUGCAAAAUACACAUUAUUACAUACAACCCAAACCUUAUUUUUCCUAGGGUUGCCAAUUACGGUUCCUAACUUUUCCCUCCGGUCGUUUUCAUUCCUCCUUUCAUUUCAAACAUGUCAUGGUAGCUAUAUGUUGGAUCUCAUGAUGAGAAGAAGAAGGUUCGAUGUUUUUUUGCUCCAUGUUUCUAUCUUUCUACUUCAUUUAUGCAUCUUAUGAAUUAGUAAAAGAAGUUUGUUGGAUUGAGAGGGAGGAAGAUGGAAAAAGCUGGAAGAGAAGAUUGAGUAUAAGAUCGAUGGGAUCAUGAAUUCAAUUGAUCCCACUUUCCAACAUGGUGAUCUCACACGAUCUCGGGGAAACAUGCCCAAAACUGAGAUAGGUUUAUUCCAUGUAAUAUAAUUUUCUUCCAUGUUAUAUCUAGUUUGUGUUUUUAUGUUUGCUUUCUAUGUAAUGAUCAAUAAGUGCUCUUCUCUUUCCUUUGUCACAUUCCAUGUGUUUGUAUCUCAUUUCAUCAAUAAAUUAAUAAGAAAAUUACAAACAUCAUCUCACUGGUUAAAAGAUUUUAAAUUUUAUUUCAUAUAAGGAAAAUCAAAUUUAAGCUAGACAUGAAGAAACAUGAAUACUUGAAUAUUGGAGUUUUUAUNNNNNNNNNNNNNNNNNNNNNNNNNNNNNNNNNNNNNNNNNNNNNNNNNNNNNNNNNNNNNNNNNNNNNNNNNNNNNNNNNNNNNNNNNNNNNNNNNNNNCAUAAUUUAGUAAGAGAUUUAAGAGUAAAAUGGUAAAUACAUGCAUUUAUUUGAAUGUAAAAUCUUAGAGAUUAAAAAAACUGUCGAAAAUAAAAAGAUCUAUAACUAGCCUUUAGACGUGGGAUGGAAUUUUGUGAUUUCUAAUUUCAUAAAAGUUAUUUACCGGUCAUAUAAUUACUUGUUUUAAUUUGGUCAUUCAAAUUAAAUAAAAUUCAAUAUUACAUAUUAAUUGUUCUCAAUUUUCUAAUUGACAAGUACUCUAACAUGAGUCACCUCCUAUAUAUAUCAAACUAGCAAGUGUGCAUUUGUCGGGACAAUAUUUUUUUGCUGCAUGAUUAAAAAACAUAUAUUACAUGUGCAUUCAUAUGAUUAAGAACAUGUAUGUUACUCGUGCAUNNNNNNNNNNNNNNNNNNNNNNNNNNNNNNNNNNNNNNNNNNNNNNNNNNNNNNNNNNNNNNNNNNNNNNNNNNNNNNNNNNNNNNNNNNNNNNNNNNNNAAAUACACAUGUUACAUGUUUAUUCUCAUUCACAUUUUACAUGUUUAUUCGCAUUACUAAUAAAACACAUGUUACUCGUGCAUUCAUAUGUUAAAACACACAUGUUACCGUUAAGAACGCAUUUGUUACAUGUGUAUUUUUCUAUUCAAACACAUAAGAAAAAUAAAUGACAAUUUCAAAUUUGAAUCUUUUAUUGAAAAUAGGAAAUCGAAACAUGAUACUAUAUGAUUUUUUUUAAAUAAAUGUUUUAAAAGUUGUAGAAAUAAAAUGAAUUUUUCAAUAAAAAUAUAGAAAUCAAAUCAUGAUACUAUAUGAGUAUUUUUUAUUAAAAAAAUAUUUAAAAGUUAUAAAAAACUUCAAUUUUGAAUUUGAUUAUUUAACUAUAAUAGAGAAAAAUUAAAAUUUAAAGAAUUUGAACUGUGAUAUUAAAAUUCAGUCGGAAAAGUGUCACAAAGCUUUGAUAUGAUGAAAAAUAUAAUAAUUCUUAGAGUAUUGAUAAAUGUUAAAUAAUAUAUAUAGAUUAAUACAAAUAUUAAAUGAGGUGAAACUGUAUAGAUUUUUUAAUUAAAAUUAAAUAAUUACAUAAGUGAAUGUGAAAUGAUUAUAUUAAGGUUUUGUUACCAAAAUUGUGAUCAUAAGAUUUACAUGCUUGUGCAUCCUACUGUUCUUCCAUCAAGAUUUAUACGAAGUUACACACUUACACCCUCAUGUCGGAGAUGAAGAGGUAAGGAUGAGAUUAAGGAAUAGUGGAAAGACAAAGAGGUAAUAGUAGAACUGAUGAAAUGGAAAAGAGAAAUAGUAUGGAUGUGAAAAAAGAUUUCAAUUCACUCUAAUGUUCGAUGAUCAAUACUUUUUAAGAUAAUAAAACAUAUGGGUCAAUCACUAAUUAGCAUUAAAACAUUAAAAUAUAAAAUGUACAAAAAGUGAGGAUGUAGUAUAAAAAUAUACAUAGUAGUAACAUAUAACCUUUUAGAAGGGAAAAAAGUGAGGAGGAAGUGAUAUAUGACUUGAAUGAGUUUUUUAUUAUAUAGUUAAUAGAUUAUGUUGCAAAAGCUAUAUAUACUAGUACCUGGUCAAAUUUUGUACAAAGUAAUAAUAUAUUGUUUAUUUUGUAUAACAUAUACCAAUAUAUUUACAAAUUACAACAUAUAUAUCAAAAUCAUGGCUCCUGAGUGUACAUCUCGUCCCUUUUGUUGNAGGUUAUGUUGCAAAAGCUAUAUAUACUAGUACCUGGUCAAAUUUUGUACAAAGUAAUAAUAUAUUGUUUAUUUUAUAUAACAUAUACCAAUAUAUUUACAAAUUACAACAUAUAUAUCAAAAUAAUGGCUCCUGAGUGUACAUCUCGUCCCUUUUGUUGACAAUGGGUAGAUAUUGUCCCCAAUAGACAAAUGAAAAGGAUAGGUGGCUAACAACCUCUCUAGUCAGCACCUAUUCACAUACAAGCAGAGAUGCCUACAAAUACAAGGGACUCAUUUGCUCAUAAAUCACACAACAAUCAUUCUAACAUCUUCUUCUUAUAUAUCUUUCCAUUAUUCUUCCUCCUUUUUGCUAAUUAGUUUCUAAGCAUGGGUGUUUUUACAUUUGAGAAUGAAUCCACUUCUACUGUGGCUCCUGCUAGGCUCUACAAAGCUUUGGUAACAGAUGCUGACACCAUCAUCCCAAAAGCUGUUGAAGCCAUCCAAAGUGUUGAAACCGUUGAGGGUAAUGGUGGCCCUGGAACCAUUAAGAAGCUUACUUUGAUUGAGGGUUAGUAUAUUAUAUCUUCUUCAUACAUAAAAUAUAUGGUCAUGGCAUAUCAUUACACAUGAGAAAUUUUAGUUUUCCUUCCGCGUUUGUGAUGCUAUUUUUACCCACGCUAAAUUUUUAUUACAUAAAAGCAAACAUUUAUAGAACAAGAUCUAUGUUUUGUUUAACUGUAUAUUUAUUAUAUCAAUGAAAUCUAUGAAUUACUAAACCAAUUAAGCUGAUGAUGUUUAUGGAUAUGAUAAUCAUAUUGGGCAGGUGGGGAAACCAAGUAUGUGUUACACAAAAUAGAGACAAUUGAUGAGGCCAAUUUGGGAUAUAACUACAGCAUAGUUGGUGGAGUUGGAUUGCCAGAUACAGUGGAGAAGAUAUCAAUUGAGACCAAAUUGGUUGAAGGAGCCAAUGGAGGAUCAAUUGGAAAGGUCACUAUCAAGAUUGAAACCAAAGGAGAUGCUCAACCCAAUGAAGAAGAAGGCAAGGCUGCCAAAGCAAGAGGAGAUGCUUUUUUCAAGGCCAUUGAGAGUUACCUUUCAGCCAAUCCUGAUUACAACUAAACUCAACUCUAUUAUUGAAGAAGAGCUCCCUUAUAUAAUGUUUUCUUCCAUGUUAUCCGGUUUGUGCUUUUAAGUUUGAUUCAUAUGUAAUGAGUAAUAAGUGUUCUUCUCUUCUCUUUCCCUUUUUUGCAAAAGUGUGAAAUUCCAUGAGCUUGUAUUUCACUUCUUCAAUAAAUUAAUACAAAAGAAAUUAAAAGCACCAUCUUAGCAUAAAUAUGAUUAUUUGAAAGAUUUAUAUAUUUUAUUGCAUAUAUCUAAAAUUAUGUUUAAACUGGACAUGAAGAAAUAUGAAUUCUUGAAAGUUUAAGUUUUUAUUUUUAUUUUUUUAUAAGAUAAACGUGAAAAUAAUUGCAAUAUAAAAAGACUUAAUGUUAUUUAAUUUGGAAGUACUGAACUAGUUUGUUGUAUACAUUAAUAUAUACAAGAACAUAGAGCUACACUCACAUACUCAAAAACAUUUUUAUACGUCAAAAGGACAUGAGAGAAUUAUAUCUUGUAUUCAAAAGUAGUAAGAAUAUUUUUCUACAAUAGAUUUUAACAGGGUGGAAAUAAGAAGGAAAGAAGACUUAAUUAAUGGAUAUCGAUGCUAUAAGAAAACUUCAUACCAAUUAAUCUUUUAUCCUAUCCCACCAUUGUUUUUAUACAGGGUAUUAUUAAAUUUGGACUAAUCAAUGACUUGAUUAGGGAAUUAAGUCAAUUAGUUAUUGGUUGGACCAUCAAAUCAUUUGGACAUGUUGACUUAGUUUUCUUAAAAAAACUAAAAUAUCAUAAUAAUAGUUAACAUUAUUUAAUAACUAUAUACCCAAAAUAUAAAAAACAUUAUUAUAACUAUUAAAUAGUUAACAAAGAAGAUUUUACUAUUACGAAAUGCUCAAAUAAGUUGGAAAUGUCCUGAAAAAAAAUGUGUUAUGCUUUUUUUUGGGGUCCAAAUGUGUGUUUUGCUUUUUUUUGGAGUGCAAAUGUGUGCUAUGCUUUAAUAUAACAAAAGUGGACAAUAAGUAUAAAUUUAAUUAAACAAUCAAAGUUUUGCUAACACAUAAGUCAUUAAAUGACAACCAUAAUUAUAAAUAAGUUUAAAAUAUUUGAUCUUUUUUCAUCUCAGUACAACAUAGUUUUGAUUGUUUUUUAAUUUUUUUUUAUUGAUUUGUUCGAUUCAACCAGUCCGACCAUCUAAACUUAUUUUAGGCUUAAAUCGUCCGAGUCGAACUGAGUCAAUCCGAUUUUUAUUCAAAACCAGUUAUAAAAGAGACUUGGACUGGUUAGAUGUUCAUUUCAUGGUUGAACUAGUCGAACUAACUGAUCAAAGCCGAAUUUUAUAACUCUUUUUAUAUCAAUGAAUGUUUCACUAAGUAUUUGUUUAAUAUACAUGAAACUAUGUAGUUUUUGUUUAUUUUAAAAAAAUAUGUUUAAAUUGUGACAUACCUNUUAUUCCAACCCUUAUCGAAGGCUAUGCCCACAUCAAGAAUGGCAGAACUUAGCUCGGCAUAGAUAGCCAAUUGAAUACCAAUGAAAGAGUUAAAACUCUCCAUGAACUUAGCUCGGCUUUGUAGUUUUUGUUUAUUUUAAAAAAAUAUGUUUAAAUUGUGACAUACCUAAAUUAUAAACUCAAUUUAAUUUUUUAUAGAAUGUCGCGCCCCGAUUUUCGGCUGCACAACCUCAUUAGAGUCGCCACUACAUUUUUUUCUUCAGUCAAAAAAUGUAGAAAAAUAUUUUGGCCCAAUCACAUUGGGCCUUGGACUUUGAUAUCCAGGUUCGGGAGUUGAUUACACACUAGGGAAGGUAUUAGCAUCCUAGUUGCCCGUUUGAACGGUACCCUAUUAUAUUGCAUGGAUUAUUGAUUGUGUUAUUAUUAUUUUAUUUAAUUAUAUUAUUAAUUAAUUAAUUAUUAUGAAGAAAAAAAUUUGUUUUUAUUAUUGUGCCUGACAAGAAUGACCCCGGUCCUACGUAUCCCUAUUAAGGGAAUCAAGGCUUACGUAGUUCUUUUGGUAGAAAAAAUUUAUUUGUUGGGUUGAUUUUAUUUCUUAGAAAAAUUAAAAAUUAAAAAAUUAUUUUUUAAAAUGAGUGAAGCAUAGCUCUUAUGUCCAAUACCGCAUCUCAUAUUAAAACUUAGUUAAGAAAUUACAUUUUUUAUAUUAAAAAAACUGUUUUUAAAUAUGAGUGAAGCAUAGCCCUUACGUCCGAUACUGCAUGUCAUAUCUUAAAAUUGUGGAAAUAUGGUUUCAAUAUUUUUUACAAAUACAAUAAUUAUAUGACAUAUCAUUAUCAAAUUUAUUACACAUGUAGAUGAAACAGAGCAUAGGUGAUGAACAAAAAAAAAUAGAUGUAAGAAAUUGGACUUACUUGGACACAUGAAUCAACAUCUUUUAAUUGAGAAUAAAGACUCACAGUCAGAGAGAAUGUUUAGACCAACUCAACACGUCCAUGUAUGCAUUGGGCCUGUGNNNNNNNNNNNNNNNNNNNNNNNNNNNNNNNNNNNNNNNNNNNNNNNNNNNNNNNNNNNNNNNNNNNNNNNNNNNNNNNNNNNNNNNNNNNNNNNNNNNNUUUAAAAAACAUUUUUAUAUGUGAAAAAGACUUAAAAAAACAAUUAUGUCUUGUAUUUAAAAGUAGUAUGUAAAAUUUUAAAGUAAGGGGAUCCACUUUCUCCAAGAGUAAGUUUUUUAAAUUUAUUCCACAUUCUAGCAAUCAAUUUUAGGGAAAUCCAAUGGUUUAAAUUAGUAAGUAUAUAUAAACCAUUAUAUUUCCCUAGAAUUGAUAGCUAGAAUGAGAAGUAUGUUUAAAAAACUUACUCGUGAAGGCUCACUCAAUUUUAAAUAGUUUUAGUGCAUUUAAUGUUUGAUAGCUAAGAACUCUAUAAGUUUAUUUUAGAAUAUCUAAAAUAUAAUGAGAAAAAGAUAUAUACACGAGUUUUUUAUGGUGACAAUUUAUCAAUCAUUUAUAUUCAAUAACAUUAUUGACUUUUAAAUAUAAGUAAUACAAAUGAGUAAUGAAUAAUAUAUUAUUUGUGUAUAAACUUUUAUAUUCAUGGUAAGAGUAUAUAGAUAGAGAAAAAGACGUAUACACUAACAAUGUAAGACUUUUUUUUACAUUAUCAUUACAUCAUCCACCGUUCAUUUUUAAUCAUCAUUUGCUUUUAAACAAAAGUAAUACAAAUGAAUUGUGGGGGACGCACUGACUAUGUAUAAAUCUUUACACUAUCAGUACAUAAAUAUUACACUGAUAUAAAUAUUACAUUCCUAUAUUAUUCAUAUCACAUUUAUAUGGGUUCGUUUUGUGGCAUACAGUUCCUCACUAUUCAUCAAAUUAUACGACCCUGUAAUAAUGAAUUGUUACGCUGAAUUCAGCUUCUGAUGACAACCUCAAGGGGGCUAUCUUAGAAUUAGGAUCGCUUUAUCUUGAAGUCUUGAGCUUUUUAAGUUGUAAUUCGAUUUUGGUGAAUUAUGGGGAAUUUGGGGUUGUUUUGAUAAGGAAGAAGGUGGAAAAGGAAUGAGAUGGAAGACGCCACAAGCAUGGAAGCUUGAUAAGUCAAGUGUUGCUUGCCACAAGCUUAGAAAGCUUGAUAAAAGCUCAUCAAUGGCCACGACCAAUGGCUAGGGUUUAGAAGAACUCUCAACUAAAUAAAACACAAGGUUUAACUUAAAAAUCAACAUGCUUCAUUAAUGAUAAUUCAAUUACAUGAAUAGGCAAUAUGAAUGUCUUGGGCUAAAAUAAAAGACUAAGUCCUAAUUAACUUGCAUAAUGAAAAAUCCUAAUUAAAACAUAGGCUAAAAAUAGAAAUGAAAUAAUAAUAUAACGCCAAAUUAAAUCAUGUAAAUGGUUGAAUUGUGGUGGAUUGCUCCUAUUUUUAAGGGAUUUGAAUCUGAUCCAAUUUUAGUUGAUAGGAAAUAGAUUAUCUCCUCAACAAACCAUAUUGAAGAUAUCUUCCCCUUUUUAGCUUUGAUUUAUCCCUUUUGAUAGGAAAUAGAUUAUCUCCUCAACUUGGCUUUUGCCUCACUUUCCUUCUUUUCUUCUUCAACCUUAGCCCUUAGUCUCUUUUGCUCCUCAUUGACUUGUUUAGGGCUCAGAGGGGCUAACGCUACCAUGUGACCAUGGUGUAUAAAUGAGACUUUGUUCAACUAUAUAUAUAUAUUUAUUAGAAAAUAUCAUAACUAACAAACUUUUUAUAUAACAAGAUCUAAGUUUUGUUUAACUAUAUAUUUAUUAUAUCAACAAAAUCUACAAACCAUUUAACCAAUUCAGGUGAUGAUGUUUAUGAAUGAUUGAUAAUCUUCUUGGGCAGGUGGAGAAAUCAAGUAUGUGUUACACAAAAUAGAAUCAAUUGAUGAGGCAAACUUGGGAUAUAACUACAGCAUAGUUGGGGGAGUUGGGUUUCCAGACACAGUAGAGAAGAUAUCUAUUGAAACCAAAUUUUUUGAAGGACCCAAUGGAGGAUCAAUUGGAAAGGUGACUACUAACAUUCUAACCAAAGGAGAUGCUCAACCCAAGGAAGAAGAGGGCAAGGCUGCCAAGGCAAGAGUAGAGAUGGCAAUAAAAACUGAACCCGUGGGUACCCGUCCGAACCCAACCCGAAUUUAACGGGGAAAACCCAUUGUGAUUGGGUUCGGGUUUGGGUAAAACCCGAUCCCAAUUUUCGGGUUCGGGUUCGGGUUUGGUACAACUAAUACCCUACUCCGAACUUGCCCCAAACCCGUUAGAUAUAAUACUAGGCAUACCUAAAGUCCUAAAUUAGAAAUAGAAAUAGUCAAAUAGUAGCCUGCGUGAACACCCAAAGUCUGAAACGUAAAGUCACAUUCUCUUCUCCAGCAAGGUGGCAUGCAUAGUGGCAAUCCUCAAGGUGAUUAGGUGAGUCUUUCGUGUUCAUCUUCUUUCAUUAAGUUGAAUGUUUGUGGCCCUAACUCUGAAAGUGUUGGUGAGGUGCUAAUUUCUCCAAUGGCUUCUCGUUACAGAUCUGUUUCACGGCCAGCUUUCUCUCUCAUUAAAUCCACCUUCACUAAACCCUGGAGUUUGAUAUCUUCAAUAACUUUUUGUUGUUUCUUAUCUGUAAGAAAUUUUUGCUCUUCAUGUAUAUCAUUAUAUGUUCUGUUUUACUCUUAUAUUUUGUGUCAAUCCCAUAAAUACUCAUAGCUUUGAAUGUAAAUAGCAUCUUAUCUCAUGGUUCUUCAGAAUUUUGCUUUCGGAAAAUCGGAAUCCGUUUUCAAAAUUGAAUUUUGGUAGUAGAAACAAACAAUAUGGUUUGGGGUUUGGAAAUCCUAUGCUAGCUGGUUAGUUUUUUUAUUCUCUAGCCUGGAAAAACACUGUAUUUUGUUUGUUAGUGGUUUAGGACUUUAGGUUAAGGUAAACAUUGUAAGCUUUUAUUUAUGUAAUCAAGGAGAGUUCUAUGCUGCAAUUGGAAUUUUAUUUAUUGUCAAUGCUCUAUGCUUUCGAGUUUAAGUUAUUCUGGAAGUCUCAGCUAUAUCUACCUGUGAAAUUGUAAUGCGUAAUGAAUUCAGUGAUUAAAUAUAUGUUUGCUAAUAUAUGUAAAUAUGUUUUUUUCUUCUAAUUGUUUUAUUAUUUAUCCAAUUAGGGAGAAUGAAUAUAGUAAACAGAACAUAUAUGGAUGUGGCUGGUAACCAACAUGCUUCACAAGGAAGUUUACAACAAGUAAAUGUGGAAGGCACUUCUAAUACUACACCUGAACAAUCUCAUAUUGGACAAGAUGAUAAUAUAGAAUCAACAACACAACCUACAUCAAAGAGACAUAGAAGUGUGGUGUGGGAGCAUUUUGAAAAGAUUAAANNNNNNNNNNNNNNNNNNNNNNNNNNNNNNNNNNNNNNNNNNNNNNNNNNNNNNNNNNNNNNNNNNNNNNNNNNNNNNNNNNNNNNNNNNNNNNNNNNNNCCACUUUGUAUGCACCAAAAAGCAUUUCAUAAGCCAAUUGAUCAAUAAGUUCCAUAGAAACAGUCCAUAACAGGAAGGUGUCGUAAUAAACGCUUUCUGGGCAUCCCUCUCAUUGAUCUCGAAUGCAAUCCAGGGGUUGUCAGAGAUUGCCUAGUUUGGCCUGUGAGAACUGUCCGAUCCAACAGGGUACCUCCCCAGGAAUACAAGGGACUCGUCUCACCCAGACUCUCCCUCAAGACAUUGUUGGCGAAUCACCGUCCAAUCAGUGCCGUCCCUGCUUACUUCACGGUGCUCUAAGUCAUACCGUCAAUUUCCUCUCCACUACUCCAUUAUUAACCAUAUGCAUAUGAACACUAACCGCAGUUAGGUGAUUAAAUCUUUUAAUCAUAUUUACCAUGCUCGGCCCACCUUAAGUCAUCUCCCUCAGGAAUGCUUCUUGUGGGUCCCGAUCUUACGUUAACACGUAAUAUAAAGGAAAUACAUCCCACCACUACGACCAUCACUGAAUACCCUGGACGGUCCCAGACCAAGCCUCUUACGGUCAGCCGAUCUCGCUACGUGGUAUCCUGGGUUCCUUUCUGGGCAGCGCCCUAAAUCACAUCAUAACCAAAAGGGUAACGUCCCUACCACUACGACCAUCGCUGAAUCACCCUGGACGGUCCCAGACCAAGCCACUUACGGUCAGACGAUCUCGCUCCGUGGUAUCACGUAUCCUUUUCUGGGCAUCGCCCUAAAUCAUAUAUCCUUCUCGGAUUUCUUUCUUUAAAAUAAAUUUCUGAAUUUGACUAUUUAAUUCCAACACCUUCAAUACUUUACUUUUUAUUUCAAUUACGGCGUUAUACUAAAGUAGUUUAUAUCACAUACCCUUACUAGGGUUAUUACAUACUCAACCAAUCAAUCCCAAUAGUCAAACACAUUUACUGUCUCUCGCCCAAGCGAGGACCCUUCGCUCAAGCGAAAAUUCAAUCAACAAUACCAUUUUAAAACUGGGCAUCUCUCGCUCAAGCGAGGACAAGUCGCCCAAGCGACAAUUCAUCUUUAAAUCUCAAUUAGACUGAACCUUUCCUCAUCUAGGCGAAAGUAUUAUCGCCCAAGCGAGAGGGUUCCAGAAACUCAUUAAAAUUCUGGAAUUUUUUUAUUUUUUUAUUUUUUCGCCCAAUCGAGUUUUUGCUGGCCCGGGCGGACUUUCGGUCGCCCGGGCUCACCCCGGCGACGCCUCGUUCGCCCAGGCGAAAAUCCUGAAAUUUUUUUUUUUCGCCCAAUCGGGUUUUUGCUCGCCCGGGCGGACGUUCGGUCGCCCCAGCGACGCCUGAUUCGCCCAGACUACUGGGAUCUGGCUCGCCCCGACGACGCCCUGGUCGCCCGAGCUCGCCCUGAUGACUCCUGGUUCGCCCAGACUACUGGAAUUUGGACAGAAUGCUAAUUUUUGUCAUUUUCAACAAUCAAGACACAUUCAAACAUGGUUUUUCAACCACCUGCACUCAGAAAAUUUCACAACAACAUUCAUAUACAAUAUUCAACACAUUUCAUCAACAAUCACAUAUAUUCAAAAGCAUUCAAACAUAAAAAUCUUGGGUUUCUUAAACCCAAGUUAACUCCAAAACCUUUGAGAUGGUUUAGGAGAUCCGGGUGUCAUAUUCGGACACCACUAUGUCACGAUGUGUUCUCUCUCACCUUAAUGAAGCGUGCUUUACGAAAUCCCUAUGGUUCGGUUGGGUUGCAAGGUUCAAAUGCCGGAAAUCUUCGUAACUACCAUAAUAAAACUCGUUAGUUUCCGAUAUUUCUAAAAUCGUUACCAAAAUACUUAAAACUCCAUAUUCCGAUUUAAAACAUUCUUUGAUAAUCUUACCACUUUAAAGUAAGUUAUACAAAGUAUCAUUUAAGAGUUUCAUGAGACCUUCAUGUACUCAUAAACCUCAACAUCCUUUUUAACAAAGAUUUCUAUUUUUCCAACUUGAUUCAAGCCAUGUUUUAAGGCUAAAAACAAAUAGAAAUACAUACAUUCUCAUUUUUAUAAAACACUUCCUAAAGGUUCCUUUGAUUUUAUCAUCAUCCCCUUUGGCUAAAACAACAAAAGUAUGUAAUACAACAUUAUAACAACUCUAUGAACACAAGUUGUUCAUGUUUUCAACAAAAUAUUUUUGUGAGUUCAAGAACCACAUCAUUUUCGGUUUUGAAGAGAAAAUGAGUUAUAAAGCGUUUUAGAAAAUUUCAACGGUUGAAUAUGUUCUUGACAUACUCAUGAACGACAUACUUAAAUCUCAUCAACAUCCAUUGGUUGAAUGUUGAGAGAUCAAGGAUUGAAGAUGGAAGAAGACUUGAGAAAAAUGAGAGAAAAAUGGAGAGAGUUACCUUCUCUUUGAAAAUGCAAAAGUGAGUGAGUGAAGUGUGGAGUGUGAGGGUUUAAGGAGAGAGGGAAAUCAGAUUUUCCCUAGGCAAUAAUGACAAAAUCUUCUAGGGUGGCUAAUGAGAUCAUGAGAUAUUUGAGAAAGUGAUGGGAAAUUUGCUUUAUGGAAGUCAAAUCUCUCAUUCCAAUGUGAAAUGAUCACCUUGCGGACACGCGUGAUAACCAUGUCCAAGUAUUAUCAGCCAAUACUCGAUCGGGUAUUUUAAAUCGCCCGAUCCUAAUAUCCGAUUAGAAUUUCGGAUUUCGGAAUUCCGAGUGAAAAAUAUUUAGAAAAUAGGUAUGAGUGUAUUCAGGGUCUAUACUGACUCAAAAUUAAAUUACGAAUCCAACAGCGGGAUCAGAAUUCGAUUCCGAGUUACGGAACUCAAAAAGACACGUUUGAGCCGUACCAGGCGGAUUUCGGCCCCGACAGGGGUCCAGAACCGACUGUCUCCAAAAAUUACCAAAAUUGACCAUAAAAUCAGAAAUAAAAUUUCAAGAAUAAAACUCAACUAGAGUUUUGUCUUAUUCUUCACCGAAAAUUCCCAGAAAUUCAUUUUCGAAUAUAUAAUUAAUGAAAAUAUUAGUAAAAUCUUAUAAUUCAAACUCGUAAAAUUUGCGGUGUUACAAUGAGAGUGAUGAACUUUGCAUAUGCUAAUUCAUAUGCUAAUUGCCUAAUUCAUAUGAUAACAGUGAUGCUAAAGUAUGCAUUAUUUAUGGUGACAGUGAUGCUAAAAUGUGUAUAAUACACACUGAUGUUCACUACUUAGUAUUUAUAUAUUUAUUUAUUGUCGGGUUUACCCGUCGGGUUCAGGCUACCCGAAACUCGAUGGGUUUGGGGAUGAUAUUCUUAUUUUCAACCCCGUUGAGUUUGGGUUCGGGUUCAGGUUUUACAUUUCGGGUUCAGGGUUGGGUAAGGGUAAACCCGACCCCGAUCUGCCCCGUUGUCAUUCCUAGGCAAGAGGCACUACGCCAGAAUAGCAAAACAACAGCGCUUAAAAUUGUCAUUUAACAUCGCUUUUGAGGCGCUUUCUAUGUGAGUGCAGUAGUACGUAAGGUUAUAUUUAAUAGUGUGUUUUGAAGUGCUCUAGAAAGUAGACAUUUAACAACGCUCAGUGAAGUAGACACUGUUAAAUGUCUACUUUCUAAAUAAGACAAUAUCUCUUAGAUAUUCUAUCAAACACAUGACAAUCAUGUCCAACUCCACCAUAUUUACAAUAGAUUUGUGAAAUCACCAACGACUCGAGCUACAUUCAACCUUAACAUAUUCCAAUACUAUAAAAUAACAUAUUAGUAAUGAGAUCUUACGCAAAUUGUUCAUUCUUUCUCCUUCGAUGUGCAAGUCCUUACAGAGUGUUCAUGUGUUCCUCAAUGAUUAAUGCAAGCUGCAAAUACAAAUAAAAAAUAUCAUCUCUAAACAAAUUGCAAAAGUUAUAAAAAAAUACUAAAUUAGCAGCAAUUGAUAAAGAAUAUUUACCAUUACACUCAAACCUUGUGUUCUAACUAGUGAACCAUAACCAAAAUCCUAGAACAUCAUAGCUGCAUAACUUCACAACAAAUAAAGACUUGUUAUUUAUGGUGUAAAUGCAAACAUCAAGACAGAAUCAAAAAGAAAUAAAUGAGCUAAAAUAAGAUAAUGAUUUACCUUAUAUGAAGUAUCGUCAUUAACAACGCUUUCUUCCAUAAGAUUUGUUAAAGAUAACACACCUUUAACAUCUCUUAUUGAAGAAGUGUUGUUAAAUAUAGGAAGUAUCGUCUUUAACAGUGAUUUUUUCAAUAAGCAUUGUUAAAGAUAACACACCUUUAACAACGCUUGCUUAAAUAAGCAUGGUUAAAGAUAACACCUUUAACAAUGCUUAUUGAAGAAGUGUUGUUAAAUAUAUGAAGUAUGAUCUUUAACAAAUCUUUCUUCAAUAAGAGCUGUUAAAGAUAACACAUUUAACAUUGCUUUCUUCAAUGAGCGCUAUUAAUUCUUUUCUGCCUUAUAUUUAACAACGUUCAACACAUAAGCGUUGUUAAAUACCAAUUCUGGCAUAGUGAGGUGAUAUUUUUUUCAAGGACAUUGAGAGUUACCUUUCUGUCCAUCCUGAGUACAACUAAAUUGAAUUCUAUCACUGAAGAAGAGCUUCCUUAUAUAAAGUUUCCUUCCAUGUUAUACAUCUUGUGCUUUUAAGUUUGCCUCCUAUGUAAUGAUUAAUGAUUGUUCCUCUAUUCUCUUUCCUUUUUUUAUAUGCAAAAGUGUGAGAUUAUAUGAGUUUGUAUUUCAUUUCAUCAAUAAAUUAAGACAAAAAAAUUACAAGCACCUUCACAAUCAUGACAGUUAAAAUUGAGAUUUUACUUAAGAUUGAGAUGGGUAUGGCGAAAUUAAUGCGAAAGCUUAAAAUGAAUAUUAUGGAUAUUUUUCAUUGAAUUGAUCAAGGUGUGAAAAUCCUUAUUUAUAGUGUAAACUAACUAGCUAACAAACUAAUAAACACAUGUUGUCAAAUAAUUCAACAUGUGUAAAAUGUGUAAAAUGUGGUAGCUUUAUUCUCUAAUAGCCCCCUCAAGCUGGAGGGUAAAUGUCAAUUAACUCCAGCUUGAUCAUUCCAUUUGAUAUCGUGACAAUGUAAUGGAUCGAAAUCUCGAUCCUAACGUGAAUGAAUUUUCUCAAUCACUUGAUCUUGUUGUUGUUGAUCUUAUUGAUCUUGUUAUUGUUGAUCUUGUUGUUGUUGAUCUUAUUGUUGUUGUUGAUCUUGUUGUUGCUGUUGAUCUUGUUGUUAAUCUUAUUAAUCUUGUUGUUGUUGUUGAUCUUGUACAUAUACUCCUUGAUGACACUUCUUUCUUCGACAACUUCCACUUCUCACAAAGUACAAAGGUGGUGCUGGUUUGGCACGAUCCAUAGUAGAGGCCAUAGGAAUAGAACAAGGGAAAAAAAUGUUUGAUAGAGCAUAACAGAGGAUCUUCGGACAAAUCAAAUAGAAAAUUAUUGCACGAAGUAAAAUGAUUCCAAUACUAAUUAAUGCACCUCAUAACAACAAGCUUCCAUUGAGAAAUCAUUGAAACAACUAAUAAUACAUUGUUGAAUCUGCCUAAUGCUUCAAGGGUGUUAAAUGUAGAAAGUAACAAGCCUGACUUCCAUGCACAACAAAUUUCAACUCUGGUGUCCAAACUCCUCUCUACCUCAAAUUCUUCCCCUUUUUCUUCCUUUUUUUAUUUCUUCAAAAACUUCUUCGCUUUAUGUCGAGUUGUUGACAAUGAUUCUUUGUUGAAUCUUGGAAGAUGAAGAUAAUAAUUUUAGAGAAUGUGCAACAUUGACCAAAGACUUCAAGAUGAAGGCUCUGAUACUGUAUGGCGAAAUUGUUGCGAAAGCGUAAAAUGAAUAUUAUGGAUAUUUCUCACUGAAUUGAUCAAGUCAUGAAAGGCCUUAUUUAUAGUGUAAACUAUCUAUCUAACUAACUAGCUAACAAACUAAUAAAUACAUGGUGUAAAACAAUUUAAUUUGUGUAAAAUGAGUAAAAAUGUAAAAAGUGUAAAAUGUGGUAGUUUUGUUCUCCAAUAAUGAGAGUCAUAAAUCAUAAAUGUAUGAUCAUAACACGACUUCUAAGAUCCUAGUGAUUAAUAUAUACUAGGGUUGGCAAUGGGCACAGGUAGUAGAUACCCGCUACCCGUUUCAAAAUAGGAGAGUAUUACCCAUACCCGCCCGUGUGCGGGUAUUCGUGGGUAUUUCUUGGUACCCGUGGGUACAACAGGUACCCGCGAGUUUCCUAUAUUAUAAAUGAAUUUUUAAUUUUUUACUUCUAUUAUGUUUCAAAUGAGAUGAAACUUAAUUAUUUUUAUACAUUUUGUUUGAAUAUUUGGCAAAAAUCCUAAAUUUAUUGGUGUUUUCUUUUUGUGUGAUUUUUUUUUCUCAUUUCNNNNNNNNNNNNNNNNNNNNNNNNNNNNNNNNNNNNNNNNNNNNNNNNNNNNNNNNNNNNNNNNNNNNNNNNNNNNNNNNNNNNNNNNNNNNNNNNNNNNACAAUAUUUUUUUGCUGCAUGAUUAAAAAACAUAUAUUACAUGUGCAUUCAUAUGAUUAAGAACAUGUAUGUUACUCGUGCAUUGACAUGGUUAAAAAUACACAUGUUACAUGUUUAUUCUCAUUCACAUUUUACAUGUUUAUUCGCAUUACUAAUAAAACACAUGUUACUCGUGCAUUCAUAUGUUAAAACACACAUGUUACCGUUAAGAACGCAUUUGUUACAUGUGUAUUUUUCUAUUCAAACACAUAAGAAAAAUAAAUGACAAUUUCAAAUUUGAAUCUUUUAUUGAAAAUAGGAAAUCGAAACAUGAUACUAUAUGAUUUUUUUUAAAUAAAUGUUUUAAAAGUUGUAGAAAUAAAAUGAAUUUGUCAAUUUCGAAUUUGAUUUUUUUAAUAAAAAUAGAGAAAUCAAAUCAUGAUACUAUAUGAGUCUUUUUUAUUAACAAAAUAUUUAAAAGUUAUAAAAAACUGCAAUUUUGAAUUUGAUUAUUUAACUAUAAUAGAGAAAAAUUAAAAUUUAAAGAAUUUGAACUGUGAUAUUAAAAUUCAGUCGGAAAAGUGUCACAAAGCUUUGAUAUGAUGAAAAAUAUAAUAAUUCUUAGAGUAUUGAUAAAUGUUAAAUAAUAUAUAUAGAUUAAUACAAAUAUUAAAUGAGGUGAAACUGUAUAGAUUUUUUAAUUAAAAUUAAAUAAUUACAUAAGUGAAUGUGAAAUGAUUAUAUUAAGGUUUUGUUACCAAAAUUGUGAUCAUAAGAUUUACAUGCUUGUGCAUCCUACUGUUCUUCCAUCAAGAUUUAUACGAAGUUACACACUUACACCCUCAUGUCGGAGAUGAAGAGGUAGGGAUGAGAUUAAGGAAUAGUGGAAAGACAAAGAGGUAAUAGUAGAACUGAUGAAAUGGAAAAGAGAAAUAGUAUGGAUGUGAAAAAAGAUUUCAAUUCACUCUAAUGUUCGAUGAUCAAUACUUUUUAAGAUAAUAAAACAUAUGGGUCAAUCACUAAUUAGCAUUAAAACAUUAAAAUAUAAAAUGUACAAAAAGUGAGGAUGUAGUAUAAAAAUAUACAUAGUAGUAACAUAUAACCUUUUAGAAGGGAAAAAAGUGAGGAGGAAGUGAUAUAUGACUUGAAUGAGUUUUUUAUUAUAUAGUUAAUAGAUUAUGUUGCAAAAGCUAUAUAUACUAGUACCUGGUCAAAUUUUGUACAAAGUAAUAAUAUAUUGUUUAUUUUAUAUAACAUAUACCAAUAUAUUUACAAAUUACAACAUAUAUAUCAAAAUAAUGGCUCCUGAGUGUACAUCUCGUCCCUUUUGUUGACAAUGGGUAGAUAUUGUCCCCAAUAGACAAAUGAAAAGGAUAGGUGGCUAACAACCUCUCUAGUCAGCACCUAUUCACAUACAAGCAGAGAUGCCUACAAAUACAAGGGACUCAUUUGCUCAUAAAUCACACAACAAUCAUUCUAACAUCUUCUUCUUAUAUAUCUUUCCAUUAUUCUUCCUCCUUUUUGCUAAUUAGUUUCUAAGCAUGGGUGUUUUUACAUUUGAGAAUGAAUCCACUUCUACUGUGGCUCCUGCUAGGCUCUACAAAGCUUUGGUAACAGAUGCUGACACCAUCAUCCCAAAAGCUGUUGAAGCCAUCCAAAGUGUUGAAACCGUUGAGGGUAAUGGUGGCCCUGGAACCAUUAAGAAGCUUACUUUGAUUGAGGGUUAGUAUAUUAUAUCUUCUUCAUACAUAAAAUAUAUGGUCAUGGCAUAUCAUUACACAUGAGAAAUUUUAGUUUUCCUUCCGCGUUUGUGAUGCUAUUUUUACCCACGCUAAAUUUUUAUUACAUAAAAGCAAACAUUUAUAGAACAAGAUCUAUGUUUUGUUUAACUGUAUAUUUAUUAUAUCAAUGAAAUCUAUGAAUUACUAAACCAAUUAAGCUGAUGAUGUUUAUGGAUAUGAUAAUCAUAUUGGGCAGGUGGGGAAACCAAGUAUGUGUUACACAAAAUAGAGACAAUUGAUGAGGCCAAUUUGGGAUAUAACUACAGCAUAGUUGGUGGAGUUGGAUUGCCAGAUACAGUGGAGAAGAUAUCAAUUGAGACCAAAUUGGUUGAAGGAGCCAAUGGAGGAUCAAUUGGAAAGGUCACUAUCAAGAUUGAAACCAAAGGAGAUGCUCAACCCAAUGAAGAAGAAGGCAAGGCUGCCAAAGCAAGAGGAGAUGCUUUUUUCAAGGCCAUUGAGAGUUACCUUUCAGCCAAUCCUGAUUACAACUAAACUCAACUCUAUUAUUGAAGAAGAGCUCCCUUAUAUAAUGUUUUCUUCCAUGUUAUCCGGUUUGUGCUUUUAUAAGGCAUCAUUUCAUUAGGGACCAAUGUCCAAAAGAAUGAUGUGUCUAUAUAAUUUGUUGAUACUCAUAACCAACUAGCAUAUAUAUAUAUAUAUAUAUAUAUAUAUNNNNNNNNNNNNNNNNNNNNNNNNNNNNNNNNNNNNNNNNNNNNNNNNNNNNNNNNNNNNNNNNNNNNNNNNNNNNNNNNNNNNNNNNNNNNNNNNNNNNAUAAAUGUUUUAAAAGUUGUAGAAAUAAAAUGAAUUUUUCAAUAAAAAUAUAGAAAUCAAAUCAUGAUACUAUAUGAGUAUUUUUUAUUAAAAAAAUAUUUAAAAGUUAUAAAAAACUUCAAUUUUGAAUUUGAUUAUUUAACUAUAAUAGAGAAAAAUUAAAAUUUAAAGAAUUUGAACUGUGAUAUUAAAAUUCAGUCGGAAAAGUGUCACAAAGCUUUGAUAUGAUGAAAAAUAUAAUAAUUCUUAGAGUAUUGAUAAAUGUUAAAUAAUAUAUAUAGAUUAAUACAAAUAUUAAAUGAGGUGAAACUGUAUAGAUUUUUUAAUUAAAAUUAAAUAAUUACAUAAGUGAAUGUGAAAUGAUUAUAUUAAGGUUUUGUUACCAAAAUUGUGAUCAUAAGAUUUACAUGCUUGUGCAUCCUACUGUUCUUCCAUCAAGAUUUAUACGAAGUUACACACUUACACCCUCAUGUCGGAGAUGAAGAGGUAAGGAUGAGAUUAAGGAAUAGUGGAAAGACAAAGAGGUAAUAGUAGAACUGAUGAAAUGGAAAAGAGAAAUAGUAUGGAUGUGAAAAAAGAUUUCAAUUCACUCUAAUGUUCGAUGAUCAAUACUUUUUAAGAUAAUAAAACAUAUGGGUCAAUCACUAAUUAGCAUUAAAACAUUAAAAUAUAAAAUGUACAAAAAGUGAGGAUGUAGUAUAAAAAUAUACAUAGUAGUAACAUAUAACCUUUUAGAAGGGAAAAAAGUGAGGAGGAAGUGAUAUAUGACUUGAAUGAGUUUUUUAUUAUAUAGUUAAUAGAUUAUGUUGCAAAAGCUAUAUAUACUAGUACCUGGUCAAAUUUUGUACAAAGUAAUAAUAUAUUGUUUAUUUUGUAUAACAUAUACCAAUAUAUUUACAAAUUAUAACAUAUAUAUCAAAAUGAUGGCUCCUGAGUGUGCAUCUCGUCCCUUUUGUUGACAAUGGGUAGAUAUUGUCCCCAAUAGACAAAUGAAAAGGAUAGGUGGCUAACAACCUCUAUAGUCAGCACCUAUCCACAAUGAGGCAUACAAGCAGAGGUGCCUAUAAAUACAAACACUCCAUUGCUCAUAACUCACACAACAACCAUUCCAACAUCUUCCUCUCAUAUAUCUUUGCAUUAUUCUUCCUCCUUUUGCUAAUUAAUUUUCAAGCAUGGGUGUUUUUACCUUUGAGAAUGAAUCCACCUCUACUGUGGCUCCUGCUAGGUUAUACAAAGCUUUGGUAACAGAUGCUGACAUCAUAAUCCCAAAGGCUGUUGAUACCAUCCAAAGUGUUGAAACCGUUGAGGGUAAUGGUGGACCUGGAACCAUCAAGAAACUCACUUUGGUUGAGGGUUAGUAUAUUAUUCCAUAUAUCUUCUUCAUCCAUAAGAUAUAUUAUUAUACGGGAAAAAUUUAGUUUUCUUUUAGUGUUUGAGAUACUGUUUUUAAGCAUUCCAAACUUUUAUUACAAAAAAACAAACGUUUAUAUCAUUAUAGCAUAACUAACAAAUAUUUUAUAUAAGAAGAUCUAAGUUUUGUUUAAAUGUAUAAUUAUUAUAUCAACAAAAUCUACAAACCACUUAACCAAUUAAGGUGAUAAUGUUAAUGGAUGUUUGAUAAUCUUAUUGGACAGAUGGGGAAACCAAGUAUGUGUUACACAAAAUAGAAUCAAUUGAUGAGGCAAACUUGGGAUAUAACUACAGCAUAGUUGGAGGAGUUGGGUUGCCAGACACGGUAGAGAAGAUAUCUAUUGAAACCAAAUUGUUUGAAGGACCCAAUGGAGGAUCAAUUGGAAAGGUUACUAUUAACAUUCAAACCAAAGGAGAUGCUCAACCGAAUGAAGAAGAGGGCAAGGCUGCGAAAGCAAGAGGUGAUGUUUUUUUCAAGGCCAUUGAGAGUUACCUUUCUGCCCAUCCUGAGUACAACUAAAUUGACUUCUAUCACUGAAGAAGAGCUUCCUUUUAUAAAGUUUACUUCCAUGUUAUACAUCUUGUGCUUUUAAGUUUGCCUCCUAUGUAAUGAUUAAUAAGUGCUCUUCUAUUCUCUCUUUUUUAUUAUGCAAAAGUGUGAGAUUAUAUGAGUUUGUAUUUCAUUUCGUCAAUAAAUUAAUACAACAAAAUUACAAGCAUCUUCACAAUCAUGGCAGUUAAAGUCGACAUUUUACUUAAAAUUGGGAUGAGAGUCAAAUAUUAUAAAUGCACGAUCAUAACACGACUUGUAAGAUCAUACUUAUUAAUAAAACUCAUAUAAUAAAAAACUCAUAUUACAACUCAAUCCUUAUUUUUUAUAUUCUUGCAUAAUAGGAUAAAUUAGUAAAAGGACCAAUAUUUUAAAGAAUAAAACUAAAAUUUUAAAAAAGCCCACUUUUUUAUAUGCUAGCUAAAUAAAAUAAAUUAGUGAAAUAAUCAUUAUUUUAAAGACUAAAAUUAUAAUGGCAAAAAACUCAUAUUACAGUCAAUUCCUAAAGAACCCAUAUUUUAAAGAAUAAAAAGAUUGUAAAAAUCACAUAUUACACACAACCCAAACCUUAUUUUUCCUAGGGUUGCCCAUUAUGGUUCCUAACUUUUCCCUUCAGUGAUUUCUGUUCCUCUUUUCAUUUCAAACAUGCCAUGGUUGCUGCUUCCUGGAUCUCACAACGAGAACAAGAAGGUUCAAUAUUUUCUUGCUCCAUAUUCCUAUCUUUAUACUUCUUUCACGCAUCUUAUAAAUCAAUAAAAUAAGUUUGACGGGUUGAGGGAGAAGAGAGAUGGAAAAAGCUAGUGGAGAAGAGUGGAUAUGGGAUCGAUGAGACUGUCGAUGUAAUCAAUCUUACACUCCUACAUGGUGAUCUCACACGAUCUUAAGGAGGCGUGCCCAAAACUGAGAUAUGUUUAUUCCAUGUAAUAUAGUUUUCUUCCAUAUUAUAUUAGUUUGAGUUUUUAUGUUUGCUUCCUAUGUAAUGAUCAAUAAGUGUCGUUCUCUUUCAUUUUUCUCUGAAAUUGUCAUAUUCCAUGAGUUUGUAUCUCAUUUCAUCAAUAAAUUAAUACGAAAAAAUUACAAGCAUUAUCUCAUUAGAAAUGUGAUUGUUUGAAAGAUUUUAUAUUUUAUUACAUAUAUGGCAAACCAAAUUUAAACUAGACAUCAAGAAGUAUGAAUACUUGAGGAUUUGAAGUUUUUAUUUUUCAUAACAUAAACAUGAAAAUAACUACAAGAAGAAGUAAUGUUAUUUGAGAAUACUAAACAAAUUUGUUAUAUAUAUUAAUAUAUACAAGAAGGGAUAGCUAACUCACAUAGUCAUGUUGCCAUAUAAGGAUUUAAGAUGUUUAAAAAACAUUUUUAUAUGUGUAAAAGACUUAAAAAAACAAUUAUGUCUUGUAUUUAAAAGUAGUAUGUAAAAUUUUAAAGUAAGGGGAUCCACUUUCUCCAAGAGUAAGUUUUUUAAAUUUAUUCCACAUUCUAGCCAUCAAUUUUAGGGAAAUCCAAUGGUUUAAAUUAGUGAGUAUAUAUAAACCAUUAGAUUUUCCUAGAAUUGAUAGCUAGAAUGAGAAGUAAGUUUAAAAAACUUACUCGUGAAGCCUCACUCAAUUUUAAAUAGUUUUAGUGCAUUUAAUGUUUGAUAGCUAAGAACUCUAUAAGUUUAUUUUAGAAUAUCUAAAAUAUAAUGAGAAAAAGAUAUAUACACGAGUUUUUUAUGGUGUCAGUUUAUCAAUCAUUUAUAUUCAAUAAUAUUAUUGACUUUUAAAUAUAAUAAUACAAAUGAGUAGUGAAUAAUAUAUUAUUUGUGUAUAAACUUUUAUAUUUCUGGUAAGAGUAUAUAGAUAGAGAAAACGACGUAUAAACUAACAAUGUAAGACUUUUUACAUUGUCAUUACAUCAUCCACCAUUCAUUUUUAAUCAUCAUUUACUUUUAAAUAAAAGUUAUACAAAUGAAUUGUGGGUGAUGCACUGACUAUGUAUAAAUCUUUACACUAUUCAGUGCAUAAAUAUUACACUGAUAUAAAUAUUACAUUCCUACAUUAUUCAUAUCACAUUUAUAUGGGUUCGUUUUGUGGCAUAUAGUUCCUCACUAUUCAUCAAAUUAUAGGACCCUGCAAUAAUGAAUUGCUACGCUGAAUUCGGCUUCGGAUGACAACCUCAAGGGGGCUGCAUUAGAAUUAGGAUCGUUUUAUCUUGAAGUCUUGAGCUUUUUAAGUUGUAAUUCGAAUUUGGUGAAUUAUGGGGAAUUUGGGAUUGUUUUGGUGAGGGAAAUGGCAAAGAUUAGAAGGGGCAAGCGCCGCAAGCAAGAAUGUUUGAUAAGCUAGUGUUAUUUGCCACAAGCUAGGAAGCUUGAUAAGAACUUGUUAAUGGUGGCCACAACCAACCUAGGGUUUUUAGGAUAAGUGCUCUCAACUAAAACAACUUAGAUUUAAUCAAAAUUCAACUUAACUUUAUUAAUGACAAUUCAAUUACAUAAAUAAGCAAUCUGAAUGUCUUGGGCUGAAAUAAAAGACUAAGUCCUAAUUAACUUGCAUAAUGAAAAAUCCUAAUUAAAACUUGGGCUAAAAAUAGAUAUGAAAUAAUAAUAUAACCCCAAAUUAAAUCAUGUAAAUGGUUGAAUUGUGGCGGAUUGCUCCUAUUUUUAAGGGAUUUGAAUCUGAUCCAAUUUUAGUUGAUAGGAAAUAGAUUAUCUCCUCAACGAACCAUAUUGAAGAUAUCUUCCCCUUUUUAGCUUUGAUUUAUCCCUUUUGGCCAACCGAAAUGAUGAUAGCUUUCCCUUGAAUUUCUCUAACCGUGUUGCUUGAAGAUAGAUAAGAUUUGACCAAUUUGAAAUAGUUAAAUCUUUUCCCAACCGUGUGGAUUGAUUUCAAUAUAAUUUAGGCAUAGAUAUUUCACUAAAGCUCUUUCCUUAUCUCUAGGCCUUGCCAUUCCAUCAUUGUAGUCGUGACUAGUUACCCUUGAACCUAACUGAAGUACGUGGUCAUGAAUCUGGACCAUGUUAUAUAUGAAUCCCAACCCACAUUACAUGAAUUAAAUACUAACAUUUUUGACAUUAAAUAAACUAUACUCCUAAGACUAUAUGAGAAUGCAAUCUCAUUUAUUUGAUUCAAUGGAAAUAAAAUAAACUAAAUAGAAAGUGACCUACGGACAUAAAUGUCCUUUUCACAUACCCUAUCCUGGGUCAAUUGUAUCCUUUGAGACUUUAAGGACCUCUGCCUUGGCCUUGGCCCUAGUUGUAGGACAAUCAUGACUUCUCUUGAUCUUGGGAUCAAAGGCUACUCUAGGAAGGUUUACAUCAUCCAUUUCGCCCUUCAAGUGAAUUCGUCCUUGAAUUGCCUUCAUUCUUAUCAUUCUUUCUAUCCUUGCCAUGAUCUUUCAAAGAAUGGCUAAGUGUAGAAAACUUUUCAGCCUUGGAAGUUGGAACAAUGUCAAGUGUAGGUUCGGCCAUGAACUUGGCUUUUGCCUCACUUUCCUUCUUUUCUUCUUCAACCUUAGCCCUUAGUCUCUUUUGCUCCUCAUUGACUUGUUUAGGGUUCAGAGGGCCUAACACUACCAUGUGACCAUGGUGUAUAAAUGAGACUUUGUUCAACUAUAUAUAUAUUUAUUAGAAAAUAGCACAACUAACAAACUUUUUAUAUAACAAGAUCUAAGUUUUGUUUAACUAUAUAUUUAUUGUAUCAACAAAAUCUACAAACCAUUUAACCAAUUCAGGUGAUGAUGUUUAUGAAUGAUUGAUAAUCUUCUUGGGCAGGUGGAGAAAUCAAGUAUGUGUUACACAAAAUAGAAUCAAUUGAUGAGGCAAACUUGGGAUAUAACUACAACAUAGUUGGGGGAGUUGGGUUUCCAGACACAGUAGAGAAGAUAUCUAUUGAAACCAAAUUGUUUGAAGGACCCAAUGGAGGAUCAAUUGGAAAGGUCACUACUAACAUUCUAACCAUAGGAGAUGCUCAACCCAAGGAAGAAGAGGGCAAGGCUGCCAAGGCAAGAGUAGAGAUGGCAAUAAAAACUGAACCCGUGGGUACCCGUCCGAACCCAACCCGAAUUUAACGGGGAAAACCCGUUGUGACUGGAUUCGGGUUUGGGUAAAACCCGAUCCCAAUUUUCGGGUUCGGGUUCAGGUUUGGUACAACUAAUACCCUACCCCGAACCUACCCCAAACCUGUUAGAUAUAAUACUAGGCAUACCUAAAGUCCUAAAUUAGAAAUAGAAAUAGUCAAAUAGUAGCCUGCGUGAACACUCAAAGUCUGAAACCUAAAGUCACACUCUCUUCUAUAGCAAGGUGGCAUGCAUAGUGGCAAUCCUCAAGGUGAUUAGGUGAGUCUUUCGUGUUCAUCUUCUUUCAUUAAGUUGAGUGUUUGUAGCCCUAACUCUGAAAGUUUUGGUGAGGUGCUAAUUUCUCCAAUGGCUUCUCGUUACAGAUCUGUUUCACGGCCAGCUUUCUCUCUCAUUAAAUCCACCUUCACUAAACCCUGGAGUUUGAUAUCUUCAAUAACUUUUUGUUGUUUCUUAUCUGUAAGAAAUUUUUGCUCUUCAUGUAUAUCAUUAUAUGUUCUGUUUUACUCUUAUAUUUUGUGUCAAUCCCAUAAAUACUCAUAGCUUUGAAUGUAAAUAGCAUCUUAUCUCUUGGUUCUUCAGAAUUUUGCUUUCGGAAAAUCGGAAUCUGUUUUCAAAAUUGAAUUUUGGUAGUAGAAACAAACAAUAUGGUUUGGGGUUUGGAAAUCCUAUGCUAGCUGGUUAGUUUUUUUUAUUCUCUAGCGUGGAAAAACACUGAUUUUGUCUGAUAGUGGUUUAGGACUUUAGGUUAAGGUAAACAUUGUAAGCUUUUAUUUAUGUAAUCAAGGAGAGUUCUAUGCUGCAAUUGAAAUUUUAUUUAUUGUCAAUGCUCUAUGCUUUCGAGUUUAAGUUAUUCUGGAAGUCUCAACUAUAUCUACCUGUGAAAUUGUAAUGCAUAAUGAAUUCAGUGAUUAAAUAUGUGUUUGCUAAUAUGUGUAAAUCUGUUUUUUUCUUCUAAUUGUUUUAUUAUUUAUUCAAUUAGGGAGAAUGAAUAUAGUAAACAGAACAGAUAUGGAUGUGGUUGGUACCCAACAUGCUUCACAAGGAAGUUUACAACAAGUAAAUGUGGAAGGCACUUCUAAUACUACACCUGAACAAUAUCAUAUUGGACAAGAUGACAAUAUAGAAUCAACAACACAACCUACAUCAAAGAGGCAUAGAAGUGUGGUGUGGGAGCAUUAUGAAAAGAUUAAAGUGGACGGAGUAGACAAGGCUGAGUGCAAAUAUUGUAAGAAAAAAAUCGGAGGGGGUUCAAAGAAUGGAACAAAGCACUUGCACAACCAUAUGGAGUUGUGUGUUCAAAAAAAGAUUAUGAGAGAGGCAAUAACAAAGGACAAUCAUUUCUAAUGCUUAAAGACUCACAAGGUAAGCAAGAGUUAGGAGUUGGAACUUAUGAUGCAGAAAAUACAAAAAAGGAACUCGCGAGCGCAAUUAUUAUGCACGAUUAUCCACUAUCAAUAGUGGACCAUGUUGGUUUUAGAUGGUACUCAGCUUCCCUCCAACCAUUGUUUCAAGUUCCUUCUCGAAACACCAUCAAGAAUGAGAUAUUGAAAGUGUAUGAUUUCGAGAGAGAAUGUCCAAUGAAGAUGUUGGAUAGUCAUGAAGGGAGAGUGGCCAUUACCUCAGAUAUGUGGACCUCAAGUAAUCAAAAGAGGGGUUACAUGGCAGUCACAACUCACUAUAUUGAUUGCUCUUGGACUUUACAAAGUCGAAUCUUGAGGUAAUUAUAUUUAUAAUUCAAUUUAUUUACAAUUUUUCAUGGAAAAAUUAUUGAAUGUGAAUAUUGUUAUUUUAGGUUCAUUUAUGUUCCUGCCCCUCACACUAGUGAUAUACUUUGUCAUGCGCUCGUUGAAUGCUUUAUGGAUUGGAACAUUGACACAAAAAUAUCAACUAUUACUCUAGAUAAUUGUACCACAAAUGAUGAUAUGAUUCCAAAAAUUAAGGAUAAAUUGCGGUUGGGAAAUUUGUUGAGGGAUGGGUCUUUACUUCAUAUGCGUUGUUGUGCACAUAUCCUAAAUUUAAUAGUUAAAGAUGGAUUAAAAGUUGUGAAAGAUAGGAUAGAAAAGAUUCGAGAUAGUGUAGCAUAUUGGAACGCUACACCAAAAAGGAGCGAAAAGUUUGAGGAGACUGCUAAACAAUUGCGAGUUCCUUAUACUAGAAAGUUAAUUUUAUAUUGUCCAACUAGAUGGAAUUCAAAUUACAAAAUGCUCGAGGUUGCCAUAUCGUAUAAGGAUGUAUGUAAUCGGUUAAAUCAAUGUGACACCCAAUAUACUUGUUUGCCAAGUAAUUAACAAUGGUAAUUUGCAGAGGAUGUUUGUGAGCGACUAAAAUUGUUUAGUUCUAUAAUCGAGAUGAUUUCUAGUACUAAGUAUCCAACUGCCAACAUAUAUUUUCCCAAGAUUUGUCAUAUUAAGCUAGCAAUAACUCGGUGGAUUAACUCCUCUAAUGAAUUGAUUAAAAUGAUGGCAGAGAAGAUGAUGGCCAAAUUUGAAAGGUAUUGGAGUGUGAUUCAUGAUAUUAUGGGAGUUGCUACAGUUUUGGAUCCUAGAUACAAAAUGGCAUUACUUGAAUUCUAUUUUGAUAAGUUGUAUGACCAUGAUGCAUUUACACAAGUAAGGAAAAUCCGAGAGUUGUGUUAUGAUUUAGUGUCUGAUUAUCAACAAACAAAAAAUUCGAGUGGAAGCUCUCCAUUGUUAAACAGAACUGUUACUAAUGAUGAACCUUUGGAGGAAUAUGAUGUGUGUAUCGAGAAGAGAAGAGAAAAUAGAAGCUCAAGUGUUAAAACUGAGUUGGAUCAUUACUUGGAGGUGGAUGUUAUAAAAAGAACACCGGAUUUUGACAUUUUAAAUUGGUGGAAGACAAAUGAAGUCAUGUAUCCAACACUUCAAGCAAUUGCAAAAAAUUUGUUAGCUAUUCCUAUUUCUAAUGUAGCUUCUGAAUCAGCAUUCAGCACAAGUGGUCGAAUAUUGAGUCCUCAUCACAAGUGGUUGAAUAUUGAAUCCUCAUCGUAGUCGACUUAAUUGGACUACAUUAGAGGCUUUGAUGUGUGCUAGGAGUUGGCUAUGGUCUGCUGAAAACGCUGGUAAAGUUUUAAAUUAUUAAAGUAUUGAUUCAAGUAUCAGAUUUAAUAUCUUAUAUUAUGUAAUAUAUUUUAUCUUAUCAUUCUUUGUUUUCAAUAUUGCUAGGAAAUUUGAAUUUCAGUUUCGCACAAGAAUAUGCUACUGUUUUAAAUGAAAUGGAGUCUGAUGAUGAAGGUAUUUUACAUUUCACUUGUUUUAAAUUAUUUGUUUAAUGGGUAUAUUUAAUUUUGGUUUUUAAAUCUUAAUACAGCUGAAGUGAUGAAGAGUAGUUUGAGUUAUUAUUUUGAAGAUUAGUAGUUGCUGCCUGAAUGUCUGCUGCAUCCAGAUAUUGAAGAAGACUUAUAUUUUAGUGUACUACAUCUAUGGAAGAAGACUUGUUAAUUGUUAUUGUUACUGAAUUAUGCUAUUGUUACUGAAUUAUUGUUAUUGCUUCAUCGAGAUAUCUAGUGAAUAUUGUUACUAAAUUAUGUGCUUUAUUGGUUGUGGUACUGAAAAUAUCCAUUAUUUAUGGUUGUGGUACUGAAAAUAUGCAUUAUUUAUGUGACAGUGAUGAACCUAGCAUAUGCUAAUUGCCUAAUUCAUAUGAAGACAGUGAUGAACCUUGCAUAUGCUAAUUCAUAUGCUAAUUGCUUAAUUCAUAUGAUGACAGUGAUGAACUUUGAUAUGCUAAUUGCCUAAUUCAUAUGAUAACAGUGAUGCUAAAGUAUGCAUUAUUUAUGGUGACAGUGAUGCUAAAAUGUGUAUAAUACACACUAAUGUUCACUGCUCAGUAUUUAUAUAUUUAUUUGUCGGGUUUACCCGUCGGGUUCGGGCUACCCGAAACCCGAUGGGUUUGGGUUGAUAUUCUUAUUUUCAAUCCCGUUGAGUUUGGGUUCGGGUUCGGGUUUUACAUUUCGGGUUCGGGAUUGGGUAAGGGUAAACCCGACCCCGAUCCGCCCCGUUGUCAUUCCUAAGCAAGAGGCACUACGCCAGAAUAGCAAAACAGCAGCGCUUAAAAUUGUCAUUUAACAGCGCUUUUGAGGCGCUUUCUAUGUGAGUGCAGUAGUACGUAAGGUUAUAUUCAAUAGCGUUUUUUGAAGUGCUCUAGAAAGUAGACAUUUAACAACUCUCACUGAAGCAAACGCUGUUAAAUGUCUACUUUCUAAAUAUGACAAUAUCUCUCAGAUAUUCUAUCAAACACAUGACAAUCAUGUCCAACUCCACCAUAAUUACAAUAGAUUUGUGAAAUCACCAACAACUCGAGCCACAUUCAACCUUAACAUAUUCCAAAACUAUAAAAUAACAUAUUAAUAAUGAGAUCUUACACAAAUUGUUCAUUCUUUCUCCUCCGAUGUGCAAGUCCUUACAGAGUGUUCCUGUGUUCCUCAAUGAUUAAUGCAAGCUACAAAUACAAAUAAAAAAUAUCAUCUCUAAACAAAUUGCAAAUGUUAUAAAAAAAUAAAAAAUUAGCAGCAAUUGAUAAAGAAUAUUUACCAUUACACUCAAACCUUGUGUUCUAACCAGUGAACCAUAACCAAAAUUCUAGAACAUCAUAGCUGCAUAACUUCACAACAAAUAAAGACUUGUUAUUUAUGGUGUAAAUACAAACAUCAAGACUGAAUCAAAAAGAAAUAAAUGAGCUAAAAUAAGAUAAUGAUUUACCUUAUAUGAAGUAUCGUCUUUAACAACGCUUUCUUCAAUAAGAGUUGUUAAAGAUAACACACCUUUAACAACACUUGCUUAAAUAAGCGCGGUUAAAGAUAACACCUUUAACAACGCUUAUUGAAGAAGUGUUGUUAAAUAUAUGAAGUAUGAUCUUUAACAAAUCUUUCUUCAAUAAGAGCUGUUAAAGAUAACACAUUUAACAUCGCUUUCUUCAAUGAGCACUGUUAAUUCUUUUUCCGCCUUAUAUUUAACCACGUUCAACACAUAAGUGUUGUUAAAUACCAAUUCUGGCAUAGUGAGGUGAUAUUUUUUUCAAGGCCAUUGAGAGUUACUUUUCUGCCCAUCCUGAGUACAACUAAAUUGAAUUCUAUCAUUGAAGAAGAGCUUCCUUAUAUAAAGUUUCCUUCCAUGUUAUACAUCUUGUGCUUUUAAGUUUUCCUCCUAUGUAAUGAUUAAUGAUUGUUCCUCUAUUCUCUUUCCUUUUUUUAUGCACAAGUGUGAGAUUAUAUGAGUUUGUAUUUCAUUUCAUCAAUAAAUUAAGACAAAAAAAAUUACAAGCACCUUCACAAUCAUGGUAGUUAAAAUUGAGAUUUUACUUAAGAUUGAGAUGGGUAUGGCGAAAGUAAUGCGAAAGCUUAAAAUGAAUAUUAUGGAUAAUUUUCAUUGAAUUGAUCAAGGCGUGAAAAUCCUUAUUUAUAGUAUAAACUAACUGGCUAACAAACUAAUAAACACAUGUUGUAAAAUAAUUCAACAUGUGUAAAAUGUGUAAAAAGUGUAAAAUGUUGUAGCUUUAUUCUCUAAUAGCCCCCUCAAGCUGGAGGGUAAAUGUAAAUUAACUCCAGCUUGAUCAUUCCAUUUGAUAUUGUGACAAUGUAAUGGAUCGAAAUCUCGAUCCUAACGUGAAUGAAUUUUCUCAAUCACUUGAUCUUGUUGUUGUUGAUCUUAUUGAUCUUGUUAUUGUUGAUCUUGUUGUUGUUGAUCUUAUUGUUGUUGUUGAUCUUGUUGUUGCUGUUGAUCUUGUUGUUGAUCUUAUUAAUCUUGUUGUUUGAUCUUGUACAUAUACUCCUUGAUGACACUUCUUUCUUCGACAACUUCCACUUCUCACAAAGUACAAAGGUGGUGCUGGUUUGGCAUAAUCCAUAGUAGAGGCCAUAGGAAUAGAACAAGGGAAAAAAAUUUUGAUAGAGCAGAACAGAGGAUCUUCAGACAAAUCAAAUAGAAAAUUAUUGCACGAAGUAAAAUGAUUCUCAAAUUCUUCCCUUUUUUCUUCCUUUUUUUUAUUUCUUCAAAAACUUCUCCGCUUUAUGUCGAGUUGGCUAUAACGAUUGAAAAGGUGGCUAUAACGAUUGAAAGCAAAGGAGAUGCUCAACCCAAUGAAGAAGAGGGCAAGGCUGCUAAGCCAAGAGGAGAUGCUUUUUUCAAGGCCAUUGAGAGUUACCUUUCUGCCAAUCCUAAUUACAACUAAACUACUCAACUCUGGCAUCGAAGAAAAGCUUUCUUAUAUAAAAUUUUCAUUCAUGCUAUCUAUUAUGUUUGUGCUUUUAUAUUUGCUUUCUAUGUAAUGAUUAAAAAGUUCUCUUUUCUUUUUCUACAAAAGUCUGAGAUUUUAUGACUUUGUAUCUUACUUCAUCAAUAAAUUAAUACAAAAAAUUUACAAGCACCAUAUUAUUAGAAAUGUGAUUGUUUGAAAGAUUUUAUAUUUUAUUACAUAUAUUGAAAAUCAAAUUUAAGCCAAACAUGAAUUCUUCAAGAUUGGAGAUUUUAUUUUUCAUAACAUAAACAUGAAAAUAACUACAAUAUGAAGAGUGAAUAUGGGAUCGAUGAGAUCGUCGAUUCAACCGACGAUAUGCUCCAACAUGGUGAUCUCACACAAUCUUAGGGAGGCUUGGCCAGAACUGAGAUAGGUUUAUUCCGUGUAAUAUAGUUUUCUUCCAUGCUAUAUUUAGUUUGUAUUUUUAUGUUUGCUUCCUAUAUAAUGAUCAAUAAGUGCUAUUCUCUUUCCUUUUUCUCCAAAAUUGUCAUAUUCCAUGAAUUUGUAUCUCAUUUCAUCAAUAAAUUAAUAUAAAAAAUUAUAAGCAUCAUCUAAUUAGAAAUAUGAUUGUUUGAAAGAUUUUAUAUUUUAUUACAUAUAUCCCAAAUCAAAUUUAAGCUAGACAUGAAGAAAUAUGAAUACUUGAAGAUUUUAAGUUUUCAUUUUUCAUAAGAUAAACAAAAAAUAACUACAAUAUGAGAAGAAGUAAUGAUAUUUGAGAAUACUAAACAAGUUUGUUACAUAUAUUAAUAUACAAGAAUGGAGAGCUAACUCACAUAGUCAUGUUGCCAUAUAUAUAAGGAUUUAAGAUGUUUAAAUAACAUUUUUAUAUGUGAGAAAGACUUAAAAAAACAAUUAUGUCUUGUAUUUAAAAGUAGUAAGUAAAAUUUUAAAUAGUUUUAAUGCUUUAUAGCUAAGAACUCUAUAAUUUUAUUUUAGAAUGUGUUCUAAAAUAUUAUAUGCACGAAUUUUUUACGCUGUAAAUUAAUCACCAACCAUUUAUAUUUAAUAAUAUUAUUGAAUUUUAAAUAUAAGUAAUAUAAGUAAGUAAUGAAUAAUAUAUUAUUUUUGUAGAAACUUUUAUAUUUACAAUAUAUUAUUUUAUAUGACGUUUAUAUGGGUUCGUUUUGUCGCAUAUGGUUCCUCACUAUUCAUCAAAUUAUACGACCCGGCAAUAACGAAUUGCUUCUAGAAUUGAAUAUUUUUCCUGUGAAAACUCAAAUCCACCUUCUUUGACCAACGAUUGAAAUUCUUUACACAAGACCAAAAGCUCUAUUUGUUUUUCAAUCAUAUUCAUACGUGACUAAUGGAACACGAGAAUCAGAGGUUAGAGAAAAAAUUAUAGAACCUUUUUCACCAAAUAAUCACCUAUUAAAAAUUUAUACUCAUUGCCUAAUUUAAAAUUUUAUUAUUCCUUCAAUUAUUUGGUAAUUAAUAAUUAUUUAUUGAUCAAAAGUUGUAUCAUGUUUGUAAAAAGUAUAAUGUGAUAUAUCAUAUAUUUUUGUUGUAAUCCAUCAUAAUCAUAAUUUAAUAAGAGAUUUAAGAGUAAAAUGGUAAACACACGCAUUUAUUUGAAUUUAAAAACGUAGAGAUUAAAAAACCUGUCAUAAAUAAAAAGAUUUAUAACUUUAGCUUUUAGCGGUGGCAUGGAUUUUUGUAAUUUCUAAUUUUACAAAAGUUAUUUAUUAGUCAAAUGAUCACUUCUUUUAAAUUUAAUUAUGUGUCAAUCUCUCAAGCCUUCAUGACAUGUGUCAACCUCUCAUCAAAACUAAAGGUCUCUCAUGACAUGUGUCAAUCUCUCAAUCAAUACUUUCCCUCCAAAACAUGUCAAUCUUCCAUUUUUGUUCAUUGUACAAUUUAAUUUUAAUGAUUAAACAAAAAAAAACUCACUCAUGAUAUGUGUCAAUCUCUCAAGCCCUCAUGACAUGUGUCAACCUCUCAGCAAAACUCAUGAGNNNNNNNNNNNNNNNNNNNNNNNNNNNNNNNNNNNNNNNNNNNNNNNNNNNNNNNNNNNNNNNNNNNNNNNNNNNNNNNNNNNNNNNNNNNNNNNNNNNNUUUCUUCCUUUUUUUAUUUCUUCAAAAACUUCUUCGCUUUAUGUCGAGUUGUUGACAAUGAUUCUUUGUUGAAUCUUGGAAGAUGAAGAUAAUAAUUUUAGAGAAUGUGCAACAUUGACCAAAGACUUCAAGAUGAAGGCUCUGAUACUGUAUGGCGAAAUUGUUGCGAAAGCGUAAAAUGAAUAUUAUGGAUAUUUCUCACUGAAUUGAUCAAGUCAUGAAAGGCCUUAUUUAUAGAGUAAACUAUCUAUCUAACUAACUAGCUAACAAACUAAUAAAUACAUGGUGUAAAACAAUUUAAUUUGUGUAAAAUGAGUAAAAAUGUAAAAAGUGUAAAAUGUGGUAGUUUUGUUCUCCAAUAAUGAGAGUCAUAAAUCAUAAAUGUAUGAUCAUAACACGACUUCUAAGAUCCUAGUGAUUAAUAUAUACUAGGGUUGGCAAUGGGCACAGGUAGUAGAUACCCGCUACCCGUUUCAAAAUAGGAGAGUAUUACCCAUACCCGCCCGUGUGCGGGUAUUCGUGGGUAUUUCUUGGUACCCGUGGGUACAACAGGUACCCGCGAGUUUCCUAUAUUAUAAAUGAAUUNNNNNNNNNNNNNNNNNNNNNNNNNNNNNNNNNNNNNNNNNNNNNNNNNNNNNNNNNNNNNNNNNNNNNNNNNNNNNNNNNNNNNNNNNNNNNNNNNNNNUGCGUUUCUACACAUGUAAUAAAUAAUAUUUGUAGGGCGUUUCACCACUAAACUCAAUACAAUACGUAAACAAAGUAAAAGGAAAAAAUAUAUAUAGUAUAAUGAAUGUUAGAAUAAUGUACUUUUUAUUUUAAUUAAAUAUAAUANUAUAAAUAAUGGGUACCCGCGGGCACGGGUACCAUAAUACCCGUACCCACCCGUAUGUACUACGGAUAUUUUUAAAAACCCGUUUAUAAUAUCCGCAGGUACCCGUUUGUGACCCGUACGGGUUUUACCUGCAGGUACCCACAAGUACGGGUUUUUGCCAUCCCUAAUAUAUACAUAUAAUCUCAUAUAGUAAAAAAUUUCAUAUUACAACUCAAUCCAUAUUUUUUUGACAUGUUUGCAUAAUAGGAAAAAAUUAGUAAUAGGACCAAUAUUUUAAAAAAUGAAACUAAAAUUUUAAAAAGCCCAUUUUUAUAUCCUAACUAAAUAAAAUAAAUUAGUGAAAUAAUCAUUAUUUUAAUGAAUAAAACUAUAAUAGUAAAAGAGCCCAUAUUAUAGUCCAUUCCUAAAGAACCAACAUUUUAAAGAAUAAAAAAAAUUGUAAAAAGCACAUAUUACACAUAACCCAAACCUUAUUUUUCCUAGGGUUUCCCAUUACGGUUUCUAACUUUUCCCUUCAGUGGUUUAUGUUCCUCCUUUCAUUUCAAAUAUGCCAUGGCUAGUGCGUGCUGGAUCUCACGACGAGAACAAGAAGGUUCGAUGUUUUUUUGCUCCAUGUUCUUAUAUUUCUACUUUUUUCAUGCAUCUUACGAAUCAAUAAAAGUGUUGGAUUGAGGGAGAAGAGAGAUGGAAAAAGCUGGUGGAGAAGAGUGAAUAUGGGAUCGAUGAGAUCGUCGAUUCAACCGACGAUAUGCUCCAACAUGGUGAGCUCACACAAUCUCAAGGAGGCUUGGCCAGAACUGAGAUAGGUUUAUUCCGUGUAAUAUAGUUUUCUUCCAUGCUAUAUUUAGUUUGUAUUUUUAUGUUUGCUUCCUAUAUAAUGAUCAAUAAGUGCUAUUCUCUUUCCUUUUUCUCCAAAAUUGUCAUAUUCCAUGAAUUUGUAUCUCAUUUCAUCAAUAAAUUAAUAUAAAAAAUUAUAAGCAUCAUCUAAUUAGAAAUGUGAUUGUUUGAAAGAUUUUAUAUUUUAUUACAUAUAUCCCAAAUCAAAUUUAAGCUAGACGUGAAGAAAUAUGAAUACUUGAAGAUUUGAAGUUUUCAUUUUUCAUAAGAUAAACAAAAAAUAACUACAAUAUGAGAAGAAGUAAUGUUAUUUGAAAAUACUAAACAAGUUUGUUACAUAUAUUAAUAUACAAGAAUGGAGAGCUAACUCACAUAGUCAUGUUGCCAUAUAUAUAAGGAUUUAAGAUGUCUAAAUAACAUUUUUAUAUGUGAGAAAGACUUAAAAAAACAAUUAUGUCUUGUAUUUAAAAGUAGUAAGUAAAAUUUUAAAUAGUUUUAAUGCUUUAUAGCUAAGAACUCUAUAAUUUUAUUUUAGAAUGUUCUAAAAUAUUAUAUGCACGAAUUUUUUACGCUGUAAAUUAAUCACCAACCAUUUAUAUUUAAUAAUAUUAUUGAAUUUUAAAUAUAAGUAGUAUAAAUAAGUAAUGAAUAAUAUAUUAUUUUUGUAUAAACUUUUAUAUUUACAAUAUAUUAUUUCAUAUGACCUUUAUAUGGGUUCGUUUUGUCGCAUAUGGUUCCUCACUAUUCAUCGAAUUAUACGACCCGGCAAUAACGAAUUGCUUCUAGAAUUGAAUAUUUUUCCUGUGAAAACUCAAAUCCACCUUCUUUGACCAACGAUUGAAAUUCUUUACACAAGACCAAAAGCUCUAUUUGUUUUUCAAUCAUAUUCAUACGUGACUAAUGGAACACGAGAAUCAGAGGUUAGAGAAAAAAUUAUAGAACCUUUUUCACCAAAUAAUCACCUAUUAAAAAUUUAUACUCAUUGCCUAAUUUAAAAUUUUAUUAUUCCUUCAAUUAUUUGGUAAUUAAUAAUUAUUUAUUGAUCAAAAGUUGUAUCAUGUUUGUAAAAAGUAUAAUGUGAUAUAUCAUAUAUUUUUGUUGUAAUCCAUCAUAAUCAUAAUUUAAUAAGAGAUUUAAGAGUAAAAUGGUAAACACAUGCAUUUAUUUGAAUUUAAAAACGUAGAGAUUAAAAAACCUGUCAUAAAUAAAAAGAUUUAUAACUUUAGCUUUUAGCGGUGGCAUGGAUUUUUGUAAUUUCUAAUUUUACAAAAGUUAUUUAUUAGUCAAAUGAUCACUUCUUUUAAAUUUAAUUGUUCAAAUAGUUUAUAUUAAUUGUUCCCAUUUCUCAAAACAACAAUUAUAUAUAUAUAUCAAAUUAUGUUGCAAAUGCUAUAUAUCAAUACCUUCUGGUCAAAUUUUGUAUAAAGAAACAAUACAUUUAUUUAUUUUGUAUAACGUAUACUAAUAUAUUUUCAAAUUAUAACAUAUAUAUCAAAAUCAAGGCUCCUAAGUGUACAUCUCGUCACUUUUGUUGACAAUUAUGGCUCUUAUAUAUUAAUAAGUGGGUAGAUAUUAUCCCCAAUAGUGAAAUGAAAAGGAUAGGAGCCCUAAUAACCUCUCUAUUCAGCACCUAUCCACAAUGAGGCAUACAAGCAGAGCUACCUAUAAAUAGAAGGCACUCCUUUGCUCAUAACUCACACAACAACCAUUCUAAUAUCUUCUUCUCAUAUAUUUUUCCAUUAUUCUUCCUCCUUUUACUAAUUAGUUUUUAAGUAUGGGUGUUUUUACAUUUGAGAAUGAAUCCACCUCUACUGUAGCUCCUACUAGGCUUUACAAAGCUUUGGUUGUAGAUGCUGACACCAUCAUCCCAAAAGCCGUUGAAGCCAUCCAGAGUGUUGAAACCGUUGAGGGAGAUGGUGGCCCUGGAACCAUCAAGAAGCUCACUUUGAUUGAGGGUUAGUAUAUUAUCCCAUAUAUCUUCUUCAUGCAUAAGAUAUAUGCUCAUGACAUAUCAUUAUACAAGGGAAAUUUCAGUUUCCUUUUAGUGUUUGUGAUGCUAUUUUUACGCAUGCUAAACUUUUAUUACAAAUACACAAACAUUUAUAGAACAAAGUCUAAGUUUUGCUCAACUCUAUAUAUAUUGAUUAGAAAAUAGCACAACUAACAAACAUUUUACAUAACAAGAUCUAAGUUUUUUGUUUAACUGUAUAUUUAUUAUAUCAACUGUCUAAAAACCAUUUAACAAAUUAAGAUGAUGAUGUUUAUGGAUGUUUGAUAUUUUUAUUGAGCAGGUGGGGAAACCAAGUAUGUGUUACACAAAAUUGAAUCAAUUGAUGAGGCAAACUUGGGAUAUAACUACAGCAUAGUUGGGGGAGUUGGGUUGCCAGACACAGUAGAGAAGAUAUCUAUUGAAACCAAAUUAUUUGAAGGACCCAAUGGAGGAUCAAUUGGAAAGGUCACUAUUAACAUUCAAACCAAAGGAGAUGCUCAACCCAAUGAAGAAGAGGGAAAGGCUGCCAAGGCAAGAGGUGAUGCUUUUUUCAAGGCCAUUGAGAGUUACCUUUCUGCCCAUCCUGAGUACAACUAAAUUGAAUUCUAUUAGUGAAGAAGAGUUUCCUUAUAUAAAGUUUUCUUCCAUGUUAUCCGGUUUGUGCUUUUAAGUUUGCCUCUUAUGUAAUGAUUAAUAAGUGCUCUUCUAUUCUCUUUCCUUUUUUAUGCAAAAGUGUGAGAUUAUGUGGAUUUGUAUUCCAUUUCAUCAAUAAAUCAAUACAAAAAAUUACAAGGACCUUCGUAAUCAUGAUGGUUAAAAUCGAAAUUUUACUUAAGAUUGGGAUGGAGUCAAAUAUCAUAAAUGUAUGAUCAUAACAUGAUUCAUAAGAUUUUAUUAUUAAUAUAUACAUAUAAACUCAUAUAGUAAAAAAUCUCAUAUUACAACCCAAACCUUAUUUUUUGAUAUACUUGCUUAAUAGGAUAAAUUAGUAAAAUGACCACUAUUUUAAAGAAUAAAACUACAAUUUUAAAAAAGCUCAUAUAACAACCCAAUUUCUUUUUGAUAUGCUAGCUAAAUAAAAUAAAUUAGUGAAAUAAUCAUUAUUUUAAAGAAUAAAACUAAGAUGGUAAAAAAGCCCAUAUUAGAGUACAUUCCUAAAUAACCCACAUUUUAAAGAAUAAAAAGAUUGCAAAAUACACAUUAUUACAUACAACCCAAACCUUAUUUUUCCUAGGGUUGCCAAUUACGGUUCCUAACUUUUCCCUCCGGUCGUUUUCAUUCCUCCUUUCAUUUCAAACAUGUCAUGGUAGCUAUAUGUUGGAUCUCAUGAUGAGAAGAAGAAGGUUCGAUGUUUUUUUGCUCCAUGUUUCUAUCUUUCUACUUCAUUUAUGCAUNNNNNNNNNNNNNNNNNNNNNNNNNNNNNNNNNNNNNNNNNNNNNNNNNNNNNNNNNNNNNNNNNNNNNNNNNNNNNNNNNNNNNNNNNNNNNNNNNNNNAUGAGUUGUUUUCUCUCCGAGGCUACAUCACUAACCAGAUGGAUGGCCUCGCCUCUCAGAAUCAACAAAUCCAAUAUGAACUUCAUUGCCUCUUCUCUAGGAUGGAUAGCAUGGUUAUUGAUGAAGACAAUUCGGAGCCUGAGUCUUAGAAUAUUUUUUGUUAGGAUCUUCUGGUUGUAUUAUUUUCAAAAUUUGGACAAAGUUUUAAUUCUGAUUAUUUAUUGUUUUUAAAGAUAUUGCUGCAUAUUCCUGGACAAGUUACUUUAUGAUGUUUUGUGUAUAAUUGUUCCAUGCCUGGAUUCAUAUUUGAAACAUCUUAUUUAUACAUUGCAAUACUUUCUUAUCUAUAUCUUAAUCCAUACAUGAGUAUAUGAUAUCAUAUUGAUAUAUCUUGAUUAUAUAAGUGUAUGUAUGCUAUAUAUAUUGUGCUGGAAUCUCUUUGCUUUUCUACUUUUUGAUGAAGUCAAAAGGGGGAGAAAAGUUGGGGGAAGUGUAUUUUCUGUCAAAUUAUUUCAGGUACAUUACUCCAAAAGAAAGGGGAGCAUACAAGAUAGGGGGCAUACUCAAGUCAAACUUCAACAUAUCUCAAAGUAUGCUGCUCUCAAGAAAACUACACUGUCAAAAGAUCUUGGUUUGUCAUCAUCAAAAAGUGGGAGAUUGUGAAGAUGAUCUUUGCUCCUGACCUCGGCAAGAUUUUGAUGAAGACACCAACAUCACCAAAAAUAAGAAAAGGAAUAUUACUUAUUAAGACCAAGAAGAUUAAAGCUUCAAGAAAAUUAGUCUAAGUCUAAUUAAGUACUUGUAUCAUAUACUCUUUAAUAUACUAAAGUAGUAAUGGUCAAAAUAUUUUAAAAGAAAUUGAAACACUUCAAGUUUUAAAUGAAAACAUUUUUCAAAAUAAUGUGUAACAAGUUACUGAAAUUUGAGUAAUAGGUUAUUGAAAUUUGAGUAAUAAGUUACAUGAGUUAGAAUCAGUUAUCCAACAAUAUUUAAAUUGGAGUAACCGAUUACUCAAAUUUGAGUAACUGAUUACUCUAAGUGAAUUUUGAAUUCAGUGUUGGACAUAGAGUUUGAGUUACCGAUUAUUCAAUGUAAUUUUUCAAAAUGUCACGUUUGGGUAACCGAUUACCCACUUAUUGUAAUCGAUUAUUGAGAGUUGUUACAUCAGUUUUUCAGAUUUGAAACUCAAGGGUUUUCAUCCCAAACAAAAUGCGUUCAUUCCAAACAAUUUCUAUUCUUUCAUAAAGGCACAAUGACUGAUUGGAAAGCCUAUUUAAAGGCCUUAGAACUCACAAUGAAAAAAAUCUUUCAACAACUCUUUCAUAACUCCUUCACACUUUUCUCACAACUUUCCUACACUUUUCUGAAAUAGUUUUCUGAACUUCUAGCAACUUGAACUCAAAUUUUCGAAGUUUUUUUUUUUGACUUGCUUGAAGUAAAGUGUUUUAAAGUUUUGUAAAUUUAAAAGAGCAUUAUUUACUAAGUAUACAAAAGAGUUGAUUGGAUUGCAAAUGUUAUUAUAUUUCAUACUUGUAAAGGCAAUCCAAGACAUCAUUCAAAUUCUUCAUUCAUUGUAAUUACUUUCUUUCACGGGGUGUGAAUAGAAAUGGAAUAGAGUUACUUGGAAAGGUGUUUUCCAAGCUGAUAAGUAUUAGUGAGUGUUUAAGGUACAUAGAGAUCUCGGUGUGAGAUAUUGUAAUUACAACUCAUAAUAUUUAGUGGAAAAUCUCUUGUGCUGCAAGAGUACUGGAUGUAGCCUUCGGUGAACAAGAAGGUGAACCGGUCUAAAAUCAUUGUGUAUUCUCUUCUCCCUUACCUCUUUGAUUUAUUCUUGUUUAUAUUCUGCAAUAUUAUCCGAUGCACUUUAACUCUUCAUUUUGCAGAAAAAGUGGUCAUAAUUUCUAGUCAACUAAUUCACCUCCCCCCCCUCUUAGUUGCAAUCUCAGUCUUACACUAUCUACAAUGGGGCAUACAAUUAGAAAUGCCUAUAAAUACAAGGCACCUAUUUGCUCAUAAAUCACACAACAACAUUUCUAACAUUAUCUUCUCAUAUAUCCUUUCAUUAAUGCUUCUUCCUUUUGCUAAUUAAUUCCCAAGUAUGGGUGUUUUUACAUUUGAGAAUGAAUCUACUUCUACUGUAGCUCCUGCCAGGCUUUACAAAGCUUUGGUUAUAGAUGCUGACAUCAUCAUCCCAAAGGCCAUUGAAGCCAUCCAGAGUGUUGAAAUCGUUGAGGGUAAUGGUAGCUCUUGAACCAUCAAAAAACUUAUUUUGGUUGAGGGUUAGUAUACUAUUCUAUAUAUCAUCUUCAUACAUAGAAUAUAUGUUCAUGGUAUAUCAUUAUAUAUGAGAAAAUUUAGUUUUCUUUUAGUAUUUGUAAUGCUAUUUUAACACAUGCUAAAUUUUUAUUACGAAAAAAGCAAACAUUUAUAGAAGAUGAUCUAAGUUUUGUUCAAUUAUAUAUUUGUUAGAAAAUAGCACAACAAACAAAUAUCUUAUAUAAGAGGAUCUAAGUUUUGGUUAGUUGUAUAUUUACCACAUAAAUAAUUGAGUAAGCCAAUUAAUUUGUUGAUGUUUAUGGAUGUGAUAUUCAUAUUGAGCAGGCGAGGAAACCAAGUAUGUGUUACAUAAAAUAGAAGCAAUUGAUGAGGCCAAUUUGGGAUAUAACUACAGUAUAGUUGGAGGAGUUGGGUUACCAGACACACUGGAGACGCUAUCAAUUAAGACCAGAUUGGUUGAAGGAGCCAAUGGAGGAUCAAUUGGAAAGGUGACUAUAACGAUUGAAAGCAAAGGAGAUGCUCAACCCAAUGAGAAGAAGAGGGCAAGGCUUCCAAGUCAAGAGGAGAUGCUUUUUUCAAGGCCAUUGAGAGUUACUUUUCUGCCAAUCCUAAUUACAACUAAACUACUCAACUCUGGCAUUGAAGAAAAGCUUUCUUAUAUAAAAGUUUCUUUCAUGCUAUAUAUUAUGUUUGUGCUUUUAUAUUUGCUUUCUAUGUAAUAAUUAAUAAGUUCUCUUUUCUUUUUCUACAAAGUGUGAGAUUUCAUGAGUUUGUAUUGUACUUCAUCAAUAAAUUAAUACAAAAAAAUUACAAGCACCAUAUUAUUAGAAAUGUGAUUGUUUGAAAGAUUUUAUAUUUUAUUACACAUAUUGAAAAUCAAAUUUAAGCCAAACAUGAAUUCUUCAAGAUUGGAGAUUUUAUUUUUCAUAACAUAAACAUGAAAAUAACUACAGUAUGAUGAAAAGAAGUAAUGUUAUUUGAGAAUACUAAACUAGUUUGUUGUAUAUAUUUAAUAUAUACAAGAAGGGAGAGCUAACUCACAUAGUCAAGUUGCCAUAUAAGUAUUUAAGAUGCUUUAAAAACAAUGUUAGAUGUGAAAAAGACUUAAAACAAUUAUGUCUUGUAUUUAAAAGUAGUGAGAAUAAUUUUAUAUAAUAAAUUUAUGAGGGUGAAAAUGAGGAAUGGCUAUGCAUGCUAUAUAAGAAAAGGUGGAGACUAACUUGUGAAUUUCAAGUUAGUUUGCGUCAAUGUGAACUAGUUUUUUGUCGUUGGAUCAAAUGAGUUUUAAUCUCACCCAUCAAAUUUGUGAUUGAUUACCAUUUUAGUAUAGAAAUCGUGAUCCAGCAAUAUGACUUAUGUUUAGUAUAGAAGUCAUGAUCUAGCAGUACGACUUUUGGUAGUUGGGAAGUCAGUAUACACCAUAACGACUUCAAUUAGUUUGGAAGUUGUUUUGCAGAAGUACUACUUUUGUGUACCUUAGAAGCCUGAUUGGUACAAUACGUCUUUUGUGUAUCUUAAAUCUAAGUUGACAAGUAGAUUAUUAUUUCUAAGUUUCAAUGAUUCGAGAUAAAUACAAAUUGAUCUCAUGGUUUAUGAGUUCUGACAACGUACAAUAGUAUUUAUUUUGUUGAAUAAGAAUUAUGUUUUGAACACAGCUUAGUGGGUCAUUUCUCUCCCAUGAUGUUCUACUGGUAUUAGAAACUUGGAAUUUUAUUUUAGAAAACACAUGUAAAAGUCGUACUUUUCAAAGACGACUUCAACAAGAAAGUCGUACUUCUCAAAAACGAUUUCAACAAGAAAGUCGUACUUCUCCAAGACGACUUCAUCAUGACCAGAAGUCAUCUUACACCAUCACGACUUCUACACUAAAAUUAUAUCAUGCCAUCACGACUUCUAAAAGUUUUCCAAAACUGUAUCCAGUUAUCAAAAAUUUUCAUCCAACAGCUAAUAUGCAGUUCGCUUCAAAUCGAAUUAAGAACUCUAUAAGCUUAUUUUUAAAUGUUCUAAAAUAUUAUGAUAAAAGAUAUAUAUAUAUAUAUAUAUAUAUAUAUAUAUAAAGUUUUUUAUACUACCAAUUCAUCAUCAACCAUUUAUAUUCAAUUAUAAUAUUAAUUUUUAAAUAUACAUAAUACAAAUGAAUAGUGAAUAAUAUAUUGUCUAUUCAUAAAUAUUUAUGUUUCCACUGAAUAUUUCAUUCUAUAUUAUUCCAUAUGACCAUUUAUAUGGGUUCGUUUUGUAGCAUAUAGUUCCUCACUAUUCAUCAAAUUAUACGACCAAGCAAUAAUGAAUUGCUAGAAUAAGGCUUCUAGAAUUGAAUAUUUAUCCUUUGAAAACUCAAAUCCACCUUCUUUGACCAACGCUUGAAAUUCUUUACACAAGACCAAAAGCUCUACUUUUUUUCAACUAUAUUCAUACGUGACUAAUGGAACACGGGAAUCAGAGGUUAGAGAAAAACAUUAUAGAAAUUUUUUCACCAAACAAUCACCUAUUAAAAAUUUAUAGUCAUUGCCUAAUUUAAAGCAUUAUGUUUUUCAUUUCCUUCCAAAUAACAGACUGUGUAUUAAUAAUUUUAUCAAAUAAAAUGGAACCGUUUGUGCCUGUUUAUAAAUUUUAAUUAGUAUUGCGCGGAAUGCAUGUGUUUUUCUUUGAUAUUAUUUUUUUAUUCAAUUAUUUAGUAGUAAAUAAUUAUUUAUUGAUCAAAAGUUGUAUAUUGUUUGUAAAAAGUAUAAUGUGAUAUAUCAUAUUUUUUAUUGUAAUCCAUCAUAAUUUAGUAAGAGAUUUAAGAUUAAAAUGGUAAGUACAUGCAUUUAUUUGAAUGUAAAAACUUAGAGAUUAUAAAAACUGUCGUACCUUUAGAUGUAGCAUGGAUUUUUGUGAUUUCUAAUUUUACAAAAAUUAUUUAUUGGUCAUAGGAUCACUUCUUUUAAUCUUGAUUAUUCAAAUAAAAUCCAAUUAUAUAUAUAUAUAUAUAUAUACCUUCCGUCAAAUUUUGUAUGAAGUAAUAAUACAUUUAUUUAUUUUGUAUAACAUAUACCAAUAUAUUUACAAAUUAUAACAUAUAUAUCAAAAUGAUGGCUCCUGAGUGUGCAUCUCGUCCCUUUUGUUGACAAUGGGUAGAUAUUGUCCCCAAUAGACAAAUGAAAAGGAUAGGUGGCUAACAACCUCUAUAGUCAGCACCUAUCCACAAUGAGGCAUACAAGCAGAGGUGCCUAUAAAUACAAACACUCCAUUGCUCAUAACUCACACAACAACCAUUCCAACAUCUUCCUCUCAUAUAUCUUUGCAUUAUUCUUCCUCCUUUUGCUAAUUAAUUUUCAAGCAUGGGUGUUUUUACCUUUGAGAAUGAAUCCACCUCUACUGUGGCUCCUGCUAGGUUAUACAAAGCUUUGGUAACAGAUGCUGACAUCAUAAUCCCAAAGGCUGUUGAUACCAUCCAAAGUGUUGAAACCGUUGAGGGUAAUGGUGGACCUGGAACCAUCAAGAAACUCACUUUGGUUGAGGGUUAGUAUAUUAUUCCAUAUAUCUUCUUCAUCCAUAAGAUAUAUUAUUAUACGGGAAAAAUUUAGUUUUCUUUUAGUGUUUGAGAUACUGUUUUUAAGCAUUCCAAACUUUUAUUACAAAAAAACAAACGUUUAUAUCAUUAUAGCAUAACUAACAAAUAUUUUAUGUAAGAAGAUCUAAGUUUUGUUUAAAUGUGUAAUUAUUAUAUCAACAAAAUCUACAAACCACUUAACCAAUUAAGGUGAUAAUGUUAAUGGAUGUUUGAUAAUCUUAUUGGACAGAUGGGGAAACCAAGUAUGUGUUACACAAAAUAGAAUCAAUUGAUGAGGCAAACUUGGGAUAUAACUACANNNNNNNNNNNNNNNNNNNNNNNNNNNNNNNNNNNNNNNNNNNNNNNNNNNNNNNNNNNNNNNNNNNNNNNNNNNNNNNNNNNNNNNNNNNNNNNNNNNNUGGGUUGCCAGACACGGUAGAGAAGAUAUCUAUUGAAACCAAAUUGUUUGAAGGACCCAAUGGAGGAUCAAUUGGAAAGGUUACUAUUAACAUUCAAACCAAAGGAGAUGCUCAACCGAAUGAAGAAGAGGGCAAGGCUGCGAAAGCAAGAGGUGAUGUUUUUUUCAAGGCCAUUGAGAGUUACCUUUCUGCCCAUCCUGAGUACAACUAAAUUGACUUCUAUCACUGAAGAAGAGCUUCCUUUUAUAAAGUUUACUUCCAUGUUAUACAUCUUGUGCUUUUAAGUUUGCCUCCUAUGUAAUGAUUAAUAAGUGCUCUUCUAUUCUCUUUUUUUUAUUAUGCAAAAGUGUGAGAUUAUAU